rnacentral:lncRNA from 1 species
GGACACAAUAGGUAAUGUGAAUUAUGUGAGAUGGUCAAAUGUUAAUGUAUAUAAACAUAGUAAGAAUGGUGAUUCCAAAAUGAAGAUGCUUUGAAAGGCAACAACCAUGUCAGAACACAUUGCUUGCCCAAGAUAUAAUGGAUUGAAGCUAUUAAAUGAAUAAAGCAGGAAUACGAUCUAAUUCAAAGGAUAAUAGGAAAAAUGAUACACAAACAUGCUAGUCGUCUUAGUCUUCCUUCACUUUGUGGUUCUCCCAUUUGUUAUCUCCACUCCAUCUAAUAUUAAUGUGUGUGUUACCUAAAGGAAUAUAAAAGAAGGUAAGAAAAUAUCUAGCAUGCAAAGACGAAUUCCAGAUUGAUCCAUACAAAACCUGGUCUGUGCUAAAAAAAGAUGAAAAGAAACAACCUGCAUGUAAUAAAGUUCACCUUUGCGUUUCAAAAAAAGUAAAAUUCACCUUGUUGUGAUUAGAAAUACCCCAAGCUCCUUCCAUUACCGACCUUGGUAAGCUUCAGAUUGACGACUGUAUAACUUCAGUAUAGUUUACAUCCUAAAACACAACAUAAGAUAAUCCAUGUUUGAAAUUUUCUACAUGCAGUAAGUGGAUUAAGCUAAUCAUUGAAGAGCAAAUAUAUCUUACCUUCCAUCUGAUCCCAACCAAUUGAAGCUGAAUUUCCUGAGUAAUUGACACCUAAUUGGCUAACAAACUAAGAGUGAAAUUACAUAACAGCAAGGCAAAAAGUUUGAGGCUAACACAAUCAAGAAACAAUACAGUAUGCCAAAAAAAUGUAUUACUCCCUCCGUUCCGAAAUGUAGGUCGCUGGGGCUUGUGUUCCGACCAGGUGAAAAGUUGACAAUUGACCUGAAUACCAUCCCUUCAAAAUUUGAAUCCCGAUCGAUCGUCUUCCACCUCCGCCUCCGCCCUCCACCUCCACCUCCGCUUCCGCCCUCCACCUCCACCGACCCUCACCUCCUCCCUCCAGCUCCAUCUCCACCUCCACCCUCACCUCCGCCCUCCACCUCCAUCUCCACCUCCGCCCUCCAUCUCCACCUCCGCCCCCUGCCCAGGCGCUGCCGCCGCUGGAGUAGAGCUAGUGCUCUGCUGCCGCCCACACACAGGGGCUCCUCCUGACCCGCGCCCAGGUGGAGGCGAGCACAGGCUGUUCCGCCAUCUCCACCUCCGUACCCACCUCCGGCCACUGCAUCCAGGCGCAGGCGCUCCUCCUCUCCCACGUCCAGGAGCUGCUGCUGGGUUCGGCUGGUGCCCAGGUUCAUCUCCUCUCUCUGAUCAUUUGAUCUUCUGCUGGAGUACAUCUCUCUGUUGUCGCUGGAAACGAACUGCAAGCAUGAACAAUACUCAAGUGAUUCAAGAGAUGUACUAAUUCAAGAGUAGUCAAGAGUAAUUCAGAAGUGCCAACAUUUGAUUCAAGAAAUGUUUGCUGCCAAAAAUUCAACAAAUAAUUUGAACAAGUUAACUGAAUUAACUGUUGACUGUAGCAUUUCAGACAAUAGGAGUAGCAGACCAAACUGUAUUAACUGUUGACUGUGCAUCAUUGAUUUUGAAAAUUCUGGAAGAACCUCUGCCAUUAUGUUGAUUUACUUUAAAUAAAAAUCAUAGACUGAAAAUGUUGUCAUCUGGAUUACACAUGUUCUUUUUCUCAUUAGAGGAUCAUGAGAGAAAACUAUUGAAAAUAGUCUGGAGUAAAAAAAAUCUGAGAACACACACACAACAAAAACAGGUUCAUGACUGGAGUAGUACUGUAAUAAGACCUGACAAAACUUCUUUUGGCUGGGAGAGAUUUGAGUGUUUUUAUAUCAUUGCUAAGAGAUUUUAUUACUGUAAUAAGACUUGACAAAACAUCUUGAACUGAUAAUCUACAGCAAACUUGCUUGAAUGCAAUGCAAGUUGUACCUCGAUCUGUCCUGAAACAAUGACCACGUAGCAAAGAGAGGAAUGAACUGCAAACAUAAACAAUUUGAUGAGAAUUUGGUUCAACUAGCCAAUAAUUUGAUCUAACCAUUUGACAAAAUCCGAAUCUACUGAUGCAGGAAUACUGUCAAAUUACUGUUGGAGUACAAUUCAGAUUACAACAGCAGUACCUGAAAGCAGCAGAAGAUGGUUGUCCCAGACCUCAACUGCACUCCACCUGCAGAAGAUGCAGAAGAUGAAAUGGGUGAUGAUGAUGCAGGAGUACAAAUGGAUGAAGAUGUAGGAGUACAAAUGGAUGAAGAUGCGGGAGUACAACAUGCAGGUAUAGCUACAGUGGCAUUUCAGAAAUUUUCAGUUAGUGGUGGAAGAAAAAAAUCAGUUAAAUUACAGAAUACAGUUUGAUGAUAUGAUCAUAUCAUCAUUUGAUCAUUUGAUGAUAUGAUCAUAUCAUCAUUUGAAUGCUUAUGUUCAUUUGACCAUUUUUCCUUUGAUCAUUUGAUCAUUUUUCCUUUGCUGUAUUUCUUCGUGCAGGUGUUGAGCAAUCAGUUAAGAAAAGGGAUAGCCUCGAUGACAAGCAAAAGUAUGCUGCUUAUGUUGCAAUGCACACACUGUGCAUGAGUAGAGGGGGCAAAUUUGAAAGAGAUGACAAGAAAAAGAUUGCCAGUUUCUUUGGAGUGGGUGUAUGGAAUGUACAAAGAGUUUGGAAGAAAGCAAUGAAGCAAAUUGCUCAAGGUCUGGAGGUGGAUGUUUCAAGUCAGAGAAAAAAGAACCGUGGAAGAAAGCCAAAGGACAUUAAUCUAGAUCAAAUACCUACCAUUCCACUUAACAAGCGGUCUACUAUCAGGUCACUUGCUUGGCAACUCGGUUGCAGCCCUACGACACUCCACCGGAAGUUCAUGCUGAAGUUGAUAAAGAGGCAUACAAACUAUUUGAAGCCAGUUUUGAAGGAAAAGAACAAGAAGGAUAGAAUGGAAUUUUGCUUGUCAAUGCUCGAUGAGACAACAACACAAACUGAAAGGCCAAAAUUCAAGACCAUGCACAACAUUAUUCAUAUUGACGAGAAAUGGUUCUAUAUGACCAAGAAAAUCAGGAACUAUUAUCUGCUAUAUGGGGAGGAAGAGCCUACGAGAACUAUACAAAACGGCAGUUGGAAAAGUCGUGUUCUUGGCGGCUAUUGCUAGGCCAAGGUGGGAUAGUGAAGGAAAUGUGACAUUUUCUGGGAAAAUUGGAAUUUGGCCGUUUGUGAAAGAAGUUCCGGCUCAGAGGAGAAGCGACAACAGGCCCAGAGGAACAAUGGAGACGAAGUCCAUAAAAGUCAACAGGCAAGUAAUGAGAGAGUUCAUGAUAGAUAACCUACUACCAGCAAUACAAGCAUCUUGGCCUGAGAAUGAUGCUGGGCAAACCAUCUAUAUACAACAAGACAACGCCAAGCCCCAUAUCUUGCCCAACGACCCAGAAUUUGUAGCAGCCGCGGAAAGAACUGGACUCGACAUCAGACUAAUUCAACAACCUGCCAAUAGCCCUGAUCUGAAUGGCCUUGACCUUGGGUUCUUCAACUCGUUGCAAUCUCUGACAGAUUGUCUAAGCCCUAGAACGCUUCAGGAUCUUAUCAAGGGUGUGCUAGAUGAAUUUGAAAACUAUGAAGUUUACAAGCUGAACAGAGUUUUCCUAUCUCUACAAGCUUGCAUGAUUGAAAUCUUGAACCACGCAGGGGGCAAUGGGUAUAAAAUACCCCAUGCGAACAAGGAAAGGCUAGAGAACCUUGGGAUGCUACCUCCAAGACUUACAUGCCCUGAAGAGGUAUAUGCAAAUGCCAUGCACAAUCUUGGGAUAAUGGAGAGAGUUCAGUGAUGGAAGAAGAGGCUUGACAUACUUGUCGAGAUGCUUGUUGAUAUGCUUGAGGAGUUAGUUGUUGAGAUGCUUGAGGAGUUGCUUGUUGAGAUGCUUGUCGAGAUGCUUGUCGAGAUGCUUGAGGAGUUGCUUGUUGAGAUGCUUGUCGAGAUGCUUAUUCAUAUGCUUGUCGAGAUGCUUAUUCAUAUGCUUGAGGAGUUUCUUGUCGAGAUGCUUGUUCAGAUGCUUGAGGAGUUGCUUGUUGAGAUGCUUGUCGAGAUGCUUGUUGAUAUGCUUGAGGAGUUGCUUGUCGAGAUGCUUGUUCAGAUGCUUGAGGAGUUGCUUGUUGAGAUGCUUGUCGAGAUGCUUGAGGAGUUGCUUGUUGAGAUGCUUGUCGAGAUACUUGAGGAGUUGCUUGUUAAGAUGCUUGUGAUUAUUUGUGUGGAGUAUGUGUAACUCCUUGUUUGUGUGGAGUAUAUGUAAAUCCUAGAGAUGAGGCUUGUGCGGAGUAUAUGUAACUCCUUGAGAAGAGACUUGUGUGGAGUGCAUCAUUUGUAUGAUCAUUUUAAUUAACCAAGAACUACUCCUACAUACUCCAAGAACUACUCCUACUCCUACUCCAAGAACAACUCCUACUCCUAAUUUUAAUUAAAACUAAGCAGCAAGUCCACACGAUUUUAAUUUUAAUUUAAGGAAAAUCCACACGAUUUUACAGAAGCUUGUAUGGCAUGUCAUGAUUUUACAGAAACUACUCCUAUCAUGAUUUUGCUGUCAUUAAUAUGCAAGCAACAAUUAAGUUCACAAUAUUAUGCAAGUUAACAAGCUUCAGUAGCCCAAGUUUCAGUAGACAAGUUAACAAAAGCUACAGACGACAACUUUUAAAAGAAGCUAUAGAAGCUUCAUGAGAAUAAGUUAUUUUUAACAGAAGCUACAGAAAAUUUACACUCAACAUGCACAACAAAUUUACACAGAGAGAGGAGAGGACCAAUUUGCACAGUGAGUUUCAAGCAAUUAACAAAACAAGUUAACUUGUUUGGCCCCUUUUUUCUUUUCAGUUAACAAGACUGGUAAGCAAGUGAACAAAUUCAGAACAAGCCUGGAGUAUAUGUAGAGAUACAAGUGCUCCUACUGAACAAGACUGGAGUAUAUGCAGAGAUACAAGUACUCCUACUGGAAUAUCUAAACAUGUUUGACUGCUUAAGCAUGCAGAACAAGACUGGAGUACAUAAACAUGUUCGACUACAGAAGUUCCCUCGCCAAAGCAAUGAACAUUCAUGACUAGCAAGGGAACUGCAAGAUUAAGAAGCUACUCUGCACUCUACCUGCAGUAGAUAAACAAACUGUAAUACAAGUAUGCAAAAUAUGUAUUGAGAUUGCAAAGUUACUUAAAGUAGAAAAAUGUAUCCAACUGAGAUUGUGGUAAGCUCUUGAUUGGAGUGCAAAAUGUAUCCAGCUAAGUUACUUGUUGAGAUGGAGGAAGUUGUUCAAAUGAUUAAAUCGGGACCAACUAACUGAAUCAGGAGGAACUUUAUGUCUCGACAACUACGGCAUAAUAAACACACAAGAAUAACUGAAUCAGGAGUAGAAACCACGAGUGAGACUGCGAGAGUUCAUCGCCAACCAUUCAAAACAAGAAAAAGAAAAAUGUGGGAUCUGCAAGAAAAAUGUGAGUAUGUUCGAUGCCUGCAAUUUUCGUUCUCUGAAAAUAUGAACCUGCUUCAGUGGCUCAGCCGCAACAUGGCGUAGAUACAAAGGAGAGCAUUACCAUCCUACUCCAUUCAGCAAUUCACACACAUACUCCAGAAUCCAUCAGCAAGUUGCUCUAGGCCUGGGGUGAUCCAUCAGCUUCAUCUUUGCUUGCACAGCAACAAUCACACGAUUUCAGUAACUUUGUGAAGGCUUCAGAGCCGUAGUGGAGUCCGGCACACUGCAUUUUCAAGCUACUGCAUCAAGUUUUCAUUAACCAAAUCGAUGCACUGCUACUCUAACAUCAACUACUCCUGCAAAUGGAUAAGAGAGGAGGCAUGGAGAAGAAACACCGUACCAGAUCCGUGAGGACGACCAAGCCGCUCCAGAUCCGCCAGUUGCUCCCGCGCCUCUCCAAAUACGCCGCUCGGCCUCCGCUAUGCAUCCAGUGCCGACGAGCGCAGAUCCAGCGCCUCCCUCGCCUAGAUCGAGCGCCGGCGCACGCAAAUCCAUCGCCUCUGUCGCCCAGAAGCUCGUCGCCGGCGCAAAAAAAUCAUUCUUUGACCUUGGAUGUGGGGCGUGAAUGGACGCCGGCUGUGAGUGGACGCCAGACGUGAAUGGAUGCCGGCUGUGGACGCGGAGAAAGGUGGCGGCGACGGGGAGAUAUGCUAGAGAGGCCGGCGACGGGGAGUCAGGGAGAUGCCGGCAGGAGUCGGGGAGAGCGAUGGGGAGAAGAGGGGAGCGAUGGGGAGAAGAGAGGCGAGCGAGUGAGCGAGUGGGCUGUGAGCGGAGUGAGGGGUAAUUUCGGAAAGUGCGAGAAUUCCGUAACGUGUCGAAAUUUGCACUGCAAAACGUCCAGCGACCUACAUUUCGGAACGGAGGGAGUAUUACUGUACGCUCAUGGUGAUGUGGUAAUGAAAUUGUGCAGUACUGUUCUAAAAGAAAAAUAGCUUUCUUUUUUUUGAGGGGUAAAAGAAAAAUAGCUAUGUUGUUGUUGAGGAUGGUGAUGCCUCCCUUUACCGGUUUGGUGGCAGCCCGCUGCCUCCCCUGCUUCUUUUAGCUGAACUGUGGGUGAUUAACGCUCACAUAUAAGAUGUAGUGUCCUCUAUUAAUUCCUUAUGGAGAAGACAGUUACAGUGACGACCUAACAAAAUCGAUGCCACUGCACUACCGAUCCUAUCAGCAUAUACAAGCAUCUUGUGAGCAGGGACAUGAAGCCGUCGGAGUUCUCGCUUUGGUCGACGGCGGAGUGCGGGUGCCAUGGAUUAAUUCCAGAUAAUUCUGCAACUAACCUUGAAUAUAUCUGACCAGUAUUGUGUGCGCCGCCGAUCGCCAGGUCACCAUAUGCGGUUGUUACUAGCUAGAUCAUCGUCACUGAUUGCGUCCGCAUCUGCGUGCCUCCAGCUCGCCAGUAUCUGCAGCCAUUGCAACUCGGCUUAGGCAUCCUCUCUUGGUCAGUAGUAUUUGCUAGAUUACUACUGUUAAAUGUGAACUCACAAGUGCUCUUUAUUCAAUAUGUUUCUCAUAUAAGAAAGUAAUCUCACAUGUAGUUUAUUUUAGUAUGCUUAUGUGAGAUGUGAACUCACAAAUUCAAUUACACAUGAACAAUAUAUUUGUGUGGAGCAAAAGAUUCCCAUCCUCUACGAUUUUCUUGGAUGAUUUGUUAAUUAAGAUACCCCUAUUUGCUUCAAUCCAUUAUGUCUUGAGCAAGCAAAUAGGUCGGACACUAUGUGCCACUUUACUUAAUUAAGGUGCCAGCCACUGCAGCCCAUAUAUUGUUAUUGUAGAAAUCAGCUGAGCGUGAAGCAACAAUGUUGAUGUUUAUCCAUGCAUGCCUGAUUAUUCAUUCAUUCCUGGUGUUUGCUUUGUUGUAUGUCACAGAAUAAAACCUAAUACAUUUUUUGGCAUACUGUAUUUGUUUCUUGAUUGUGUUAGCCUCAAACUUUUUGCCUUGCUGUUAUGUAAUUUCACUCUUAGUUUGUUAGCCAAUUAGGUGUCAAUUACUCAGGAAAUUCAGCUUCAAUUGGUUGGGAUCAGAUGGAAGGUAAGAUAUAUUUGCUCUUCAAUGAUUAGCUUAAUCCACUUACUGCAUGUAGAAAAUUUCAAACAUGGAUUAUCUUAUGUUGUGUUUUAGGAUGUAAACUAUACUGGAGUUAUACAGUCGUCAAUCUGUAGCUUACCAAGGUCGGUAAUGGAAGGAGCUUGGGGUGUUUCUAAUCACAACAAGGUGAAUUUUACUUUUUCUGAAAUGCAAAGGUGAACUUUAUUACAUGCAGGUUGUUUCUUUUCAUCUUUUUUUAGCACAGACCAGGUUUUGUAUGGGUCAAUCUGGAAUUCGUCUUUGCAUGCUAGAUAUUUUCUUACCUUCUUUUACAUUCCUUUAGGUAACACACACAUUAAUAUUAGAUGGAGUGGAGAUAACAAAUGGGAGAACCACAAACAUGGAAGAACCACAAAUCCUACGGUCCAUUGUAGGAUGAUUUUCCUAAGGCCUUGAAUUCGUUGGCAAGGUGAUCAGGGUCCUCUCCCUGGUCCUAUCGAACCAGUGACUUCUCUCCUGGGAUUGAAUAUGUUUUGCCUUUCCCCGAUGCUUCCGCAUUCCUAUGUGGGUAGGAUUCGCCAGUGAUGAGCGGCUUAUUUAGCCUAUGCGAAGCGCGAAGCAUAAGAGAAGAGUGUAGCAAAGCAAGUGUAAUACUUGUAGCGAAUAUAAGUAGUGUCAAAGCCUACACUGGCUUAGCUCUGCAGAUGUUUUCAGGACGAAGACGGUGAUACGAUACCACUCGCCAGUGAUGAUAAGAUUCACUCAUAGCAUAGGUGGAAGAUCCAUCCUAUUUUCUUUAUAGAUUUAUUUGUUCAAAGAAAAUACGCCUAAAAAUCAUUCAGGGAACCCACUCUUGGUAUCCUUUACCACUUUCACUUUCCAUAUUCCCUUUCUUUAGUUCAGACGCUAUCGUACCUCAGGGAAAAUCCAAAUUUCUAUCAACGAUUCCCACCCAACUCUGGAAUGACUCUCCCCUCUCUCCCUUAACAUAUCGAAGGCCUCUUAUCCGUCAACCGCACCUUAAUAGCUCAGACUUCCGAGCCUUGCUGGAUGAUGCAGAAGGGCCAACAUCAGAGGAUCAAUUGAAUAACCAACUCUCCCGCCCCGCUGCCGCUACUGCUCGAAAGCCUUUGGAUCCCCUACAGGACUGUCAUGAGCCCCUACAAGGAGUCAAAAUAAAGCCAAAACCAGAUACAGGAAGUGUUGACCCGGAUCAAUUGAGUGCGAGCCCUUUUAUCUUGAGCUGAUUCUCCUUAUUUUAGAGCUGUGGCGAAGGUAAAUUGAGCUCUGGCCUGUGGGGAAGGAAAAGGCUCUGACGAAUCUCCAGGGAUUACAGGAAGGUUUAGGCCUUGUGAGCAGCUCCAGACGGUCAGAAAAGAAGAUGGUCCCGCCCUUACUUCGGCUUGAGGAGUCGUUUUCUCGCUAUCUUCUUCGUCUGGAUUAGCCUUUUAGUAGCCUAGUAGGUUGUUUGAGUUUCAGGAAAGGAAGAGGUGCUUUCUAAAACAGCCGUUACCACUAUGUUUUUUUUCAAUAAGUUCUUUUAGAGCAUCGUGCCCCACUGUCCGAAUAAAGUGUGCGCCUAAGGUGUCAUGUGUUUAAGAAUAUACGUAUAAUAGAAAUACUUUCCCAAUCCAUAUAAGAGGAAAGAAGGGUACAGCAAUAAGCAGUAGAAUAAUAACCCGCAGUAGAAGUUUAAUCGCUUCCAAAGAUCGGAGCCAGACAAAGAUAAGACUCCACGGCGGCACGAUCGGGAUGAUCGGGUCAAAAAUGAGUCAAAAUUUGUAAAACCCCGGUUUUGGCCUUGUUACUAAGGAGAAAUUGACAUACUUAACAAAUAGAGAUAGAAUUAUUUCAAAAAGAGAUCAGGAAAGAGCCAUUUCCCAACCAAAUAAAACAGGAAAGCAUGAGGCUCGAAGCCCUUUCUCAUUUCGAAUUUCAUCUUAGUAUCGGUAAUGCCCCGCCCAAAAGUAUUUCAUCGCAAUCACAUGCUAGCUUGGUUGGAAAAGCUCGUUUGCACCCACUAACUAAUACCUUCUCGUCAGUAUUGAAUUCUCCAUGCUUUCGCCUUGCUUUGUAGUCAUUUUCUAUGAGUAAUCGGUCCGAACUCAAUUUCAAGAAAAAAACUCUAUCUCGCCUGUGGCCAAAAGUAGUGAAAAUGGUAUUUAGCUUAGUCAAUAUACAACACAACUGCUGAUUCUUCGCGAGAUGAAAACCCUUUGUCCUCCGUCUGCAGGGGCAAUUCCUGAGAAAAGUGCUACUAGCCCUUGUUUUGGUCAUGUCCACAGGCCUUUCCAUUCGUCUUUAUUCGUCUUUCUUUCGGCAAUCUAUGCAUAAUUCUACUUCUUGAACCACCGAAUCCGCUUUUGAAAAUGGAUAACUAGCUCCAUUCUGCGUCAAGUACUAAGGAUGGGCCCAAAGCACACUUUUGAAAGGCAUCGAUCACCUUAAAAACCCCAAAAGUAGGAAGUCUAGCGUGCUUCUUUAGUGCUGCUCUUCGAUCAAAUGCUUUCUCAUUGAACGAGGCAUAUUAAAGUGAAAGAAGUUCCAGGUCGAGUCCCGAGAAGGUGAUAGUUGAUUUUGAUCAUGAAGUUGGCACUGGACUUUGGAAUUGAUUCUGGACCCCCACCUGCUCAGGACGCCCCGCCUGCUCAGGACGAUCCCAUUACGGAUUUUCUGGAGGGGGACACGCUUGACCCAGCGCAAAAACGGGAAUUCAGAAAUAUUAUGAAUUUCUUGAAGACCAAAAGCAGAAUGAACCUUCAAAAUGAGCGAAUCGUAAUAAAAAGAUGUUGGGGGGCGAGGGUAGUAGUUACGAAUCUAGGGCAAUCAACCACUAUCUAAAAACCUAGGUUGGACAACUGUGUGCUGGGGGAUUAGCAGGGGAUUUUGUCAUAAAGGAAUUACAGAAAUGGAAAAGGGACUUCAAAGCUCAAAAGAGACGGUCCCACUUCUAUCAGGGCCUUCUCGGGGUCUUGAGCAAUGUUAAUUUGCAUUGAUUGCAAACAGGGUGCGGGAUUCUCUGACGCAAACAAAGAAAUGGUCCCGAAGAAAGGAAUCGGUCUCUUCAGUCCGGCGCAUGCCUCAAAUUCAUUUUUCCUUUGAAUUACUCAUUUUUUGAAUUUCACACCAGAAACUUUUCUAGGAGAAGUUCGAAUCCGUUCCGUUCGGAUAUUGAUCGGUCUUGGUUUGACAUGGUUUACGCGUUACUGGUUCCCGGAAGAGUCAAUUUCUCCAUUAGCUAAACCCUUUAUUACCCUACCUUUGGACUCGUAUUUUGUUUGUACACAAUCAAUGGAGGCCCCCCGACAUAUGUUGCAACAUCUUCAAUAGCAUGCUCUUACUUCGUCUUUCCCUUAAUAAGUCAUCAAAUUUGGUGCUUUUCGAUCCCCGGUUGCUAUGGGGAACAAAGGCAGAAAUACAAUAGAAUCCUCCAUUUAAGUGGUUCUCGCUUCUCCUUGUUCCUGCUCCUAACUCAUCCCCGGGUAGUUCCCAAUGUUUGGCACUUUCCAUACUUCGUGGGUGCAACAUCAAAAAAUUCGCUCAUGAUCAAGUUACAACCUAAGAUCUAUGACUAUAUUAUGUUAACUGUUCGUAUUUUGUUCAUUCCAUCGGUAUGCUCCCAGGUACCUGUAAUUGUGAUCUGUUUGCCAGAACCAAGGGGUCUUUCUGUGGAAACCUUCACGAGCAAUCGUCGUUUUUUGAUGGUUUUUCCGCUUUUCACAGCUGCUCUUUCCACACCCCCGGAUAUCUGGUGCCAAACCGUCGCCCCUUUCCUUAUAUAUAUCGAGUUUGCUAUCUUUGUGGCAUUGAUUGUACAAGUUCGUGAAGAGGGCUGGACGAGUAGAAUGAGGGAAAGCGGCUCGAUCGAGAAAAAAGAGGAGUAGACUAGAAAACCUAGAACUUCAAAAGUCACUAUCAAUGAAUUCCCGAGCAAUUCUAAACCAACAUAUGCUCCGUAUAGACGGAAUCUCAGAUAAGAACCUAACAGAAGUUUCGCGACUCCUUCAUGGAAUAUAGGUCUUAGUAUAUAAAUAAUGUCAGUUCGAACCUGACGAGUCGUUAUCAUCUAUUGCCCUAACUGAGUCCAUUAGCUCUUGUUGCCCUUCUUUGGUGGGGGUCCAUAGAGAGUUCGUUUUAUGAAAUAUCUGAGAAAGUAAAAAAAAGAUAAAGGAUGGCUUAUGGUCUAUUUUCUUACUUGACUAUCCUGCCUGACUUGGCCAAUAAAAGAUACCUAGCAUGACACAUCAGCUACGCCAUCUGAGCCUGUCCACUUGCUAGUCAGGAAAAAUAACCGCUCCGUUCCGUGGGCUUCUUUUGCAGCUCUCUUCACGCUCGCUUUACGAGUGCAACCAAGUUCAAUAAACUGUUCAUGCUAAUUCAUAGACUAUGCUGGUUUCUAUCUAAGAGUCCUGUGAGACGCUUCCUUCUUAUACACAUCUGAAGCAACGUUUGAUCAUCCGCAUUAGAGAGUUUUGCAGGUCCUUGAGAGAACGUUAUCCAGUCAGUUAUGACUUGACCAUGGUCUGAGGUGAAAUUGGUCCUGGUCCAUAAAACGAAAGGUGCUGGGCAAGCGCAGAGAAGUCGUCUGAAGGGGAGUUCCAUAGGAAUGUUCAACUUCGAUCAACCUUGGUUUGGUCCCAUGCCUAAGAAAGAAAGAAGGUCAAAAACAAAAUAGGGGUGAUAUAACCCACUGCUCGCCUAAGAAUGUACUGACGUAAUCCCUACUAUGGCUUCCUGAAGGAUCCAGCUGCUAAGAGGGUCCGAGCCAUAACGGAUUGAUGUGACCGUAGCGGCGACUGGAAUCGAUCUGAAUGAGGCAGUUAUGGGACUGAUCUUAUAUAACAAUAUAUAUGGAGGAAGGAUUCAUAAAAGGUGGGGGUCAAUGUGUAUAAUACGAGCUCCACUUUCAGGCAAUGAGCUAGCUUAACCCUGAUUGCUUAAGGUUUAAUACAGUCAUGUUGGAUCUGCUACUAAGAAAGGAAGAGAAAGACUGAUUGCGACAGCUCAACCGGAUGAGACAUCUCUUAUUUACAGAACCGUGCCAACGUGUGCCUACAUUGUUUGAUUUACCAGUUCUGGGUAUUGGAUUUUGGAAUAGAAAGAAUGAAACUAGUACUAGCUUAUCGCCAACCGUGCUUUCUACCAACUCCGCCAACCCCAGACGGGAAUAUUGAUUGCGAUUUAGCCGCACCUGAGCCCGCAACUGCUGCCUCUACUCCGCCCACUUCUUGUGCCGACUUCGCCAGCCUCGCGGGGUACCGAUUUCCUCCUGCUUUGUGUGCGUGCCAUUGACUCCUUUAAUGGGUCGAAACCUACUUAGUUCUCAUUUUUAUUUCGUCUAUACAAGAAAAGAAGGAUUUGUGUUUAGCAAGACAGAGAAUUGAAUAAGUAAAAAUAAAGUCAUGUGUACCCUUUACCGAAAAGCAAAUAUGACAGAUAGGGUACGGCAUAUUGCUUAUUCCUGAUUGAUCUAGUUGACGACAGUUGCCUUGUUGGACCGAUUGUGGAUUGGAAUAGAAGUUUCUUAUAUACAGAUAUUCGUGUUUACUGAUUUCGCAUACUGGGAAUGGAACUUGAUGUAACCCAUUGGAAACUCUCUUUGAGACUCAUUAUCUGUUAUAUACGACAGGCUAAUUAAGUCCUUCAAUUUCAGAAAGGAGUCUUUCCUUACUUCCUUACACAAAACUGUUAUGUUGUUAUGCUGCUCGUGCAAUCAAAACUUAGAAUAGAAGAAAAAGAGUUCCCUCGGGACCCAUCCUCUUCUCCUUUGCUUGUGUGACUAUCAUGAGAAGAAUUCCAUUCCAAGAAGUCAAAUAACAAGAAAAAGAAACGAGGUCAAGAUCCGUUGUUACCAGUACCGACGAAAUGGAGAAAGUGUCCUCCGGGAACGCAAUCUACUACAUUAGUUGGUGUAGCCAAAGAAGAGGAUAUCCCCUUUUUGACCCAUUGGUCUUCAGACCAGACCCAUACCAUAGCUACAAACACUUUUGAGUCGGAGGAGACUGGCCAGAUCGCCUUCUUGAGGCUCUCCGGGCUUAUCGGACGUCAAACUGUAUAGCCACUGGUCCCCUUCUCCUUAGUCGUUGGCAUGGACGCCAUUCUUCCAGUGAACUCGACGAUUCCUUCCCUGCGCGUUCUGCUCGACAACGAUAUGACUGAUAAUCAGAAGCGAGAGGCUCUGCUCUCGAAACUUGACCUCCUCGAUUCGAUCGAUGGGAGAAAAAAAAGGUUACGAGCGGCAGAGCAUGCACAAGUCUAUCAACGUCAACUCAGCCGCGCUUUGGACCGAUCCUACGAAUAAGAGGCAUUAACAAAGCAUUUAUGAGACACCAUACUUUCAAUAGGCAAGGGCCAGCCCGAAGAUCAACGGGAUCUUUCUCCAAGCUAAGUUUCUACCCCCGAGGGAACCGGCCACGAUGCGUGGGGGUAUCGGUGCUGAUAAAGUCGUCUCCGCUCAUCUUACCUGGAAAUGGAAAUAAAUUAUGGCCAAUACCAGGUAUAUAAGCAGUGAUUUCAAAUCGAGAGGUUAAUCGUACUCUAGCAACUUUACGUAAGGCAGAGUUGGGUUUUUUGGGGUUGAUAGUGGAAAAGUCGACAGAUAAGUCACCCUUACUGUCCCUUUACAGAACCGUACAUGAGAUUUUCACCUCAUACGGCUCCUCGGUCAAUUCUUUCGAAGGGAUCCUUUUCCUCGUUCGAGAGUCUCCACCCUUCUUCCACUCUAUCCUAAAGACUAACUAAGACCAAUUGAGUCACGUUUUCAUGUUCUAAUUGAACACUUUCCAUUUAUGAUAUGAUUAAAGGAGAAGAUUGUUCUUUUACCAAACAUAUGCAGAUCAAAUCACGUCUUAUAAUAAGAAGAAAUCUUUCUCGGUAUCAAUCCCCUUGCCCCUCAUUCUUUGAGAAUUAGAAGGAUCGUUUUCGAGUUUCCAUUUCUUCAUUUGGAAUCUGGGCUCUUCUAUCUUCGACUUAUUUUUUUGGCUUUAUUCUUUAUUUAUUUCAUUUCGAUUUUUCCCUCUUCCUCUAUCCCUAUCCUCUAGGUACAGCGUUUGCAUCAAUAGAGAACCUUUUCCUCUGUAUGAAUCUAUAUUAUUCCAUUCCAAUUUCUUCCCGAAACUUCCCAAGAAAAAUCCCGAAUUGGAUCCAAAAUUGACGGGUUAAUGUGAGCUUAUCCAUGCGGUUAGGCACUCUUCAAAUAGGAAUCCAUUUUCUAACUGGCUUUCGUGCUUUGGUGAGUCGUCCGAGAUCUUUUCGAUGACCUAUGUUGUGUUGAAGGGAUAUCUAUAUGAUCCGAUCGAUUGCAUAAGACCCGCGGUAGCAAUAGAACGGGGAAAGUAUACAGAAAAGACAGUUCUUUUCAAUUUCGGUUAUCUAUAUAUUAGUUCAUUUCUAUUUCUAGAUAUCUAUUUCUAUAUAUUAGUAUUAGUUAGUCGUACUAUUAGUUACCGAUCCCGGCUCUGUGAGUUCUUUCUUCCGUGAUGAAUUGUCAGCACCAGUCCUACAUUUUUUUCUCUGUGGACCGAGGAGAAAGGGGGCUCAGCAGGCUGCACCGAUUAGAGAGAGUACGUCGUCUAUUCAUUCCACUCAUUCCUUAACGUCCAAAGCUAAGAAUUCAAAAAGUUAAUAGGUGGGUAGGUGUUCUUAGGUUCGUAACAUGCCUUUCUCGGAAGCAUUGUUGAAUUAAUGGCAAGGGAGAUAUUAGCUUAAUGGCUUGGCUAUGCUUGAGUCAGCAGAAAUCAUUUAUGACGAAUAAAAUCAAUCAGAGGUAGUUACCUCUCCUGUAGCCGGGUAUGAGAGGUCUAGUUCGGUGAGAAUAGAUAGGGAUAGAAAGACCAUCCUGGUGCACAUGCUAUGGGUCUUAUUGUUUGUUGGGAAAGCAAGGAAGACUAGCUUUGGCGUGGGAAGCUUACCAAUUUAUGCGGUGGCUACUCGAUCGAGAAGAAAGAGCAGUUGUUACCCGCCUCCACUAUUAAGCAGCAUGAGCCACUAGACUGACUCGAUAUCGUGUGUGGAUCCGCCCGAAGGCAGUCGAUUAGAAAAGAUGAAGACAAGGAAGAGCCAUUCUUCAUACAUAGGAGCGAGCGAAAUGGAAAGCGGACAAACGGAAUUCUGUACAACUAUAGGGUUCAGUUCUUUCUUCUGUCCCAGGUCCUUUCUUCUCUUGCGGAUCUUUCUUACUUUUAUUCCUCAGCUCGCUUACAAAAACUACAUAUUUUUUUAGAUAUAGACCUGGGGUUCUCGCUUCUGUGCAAGCUAUUUCCGAACCUGCCUGCCUUCGGGGAGAUGGGUUGGGUCAUACGCGGGACCUACCCCGAGGAAGGAGGCUUGAGGCGCGCUAAAUACAAUUGUUUUAUCAACACGGGGUGGAGAAGGCAUUGCAAUUUCCUGCUUUUAUGAUUGCUUCAAUUCCUCUGAUUCUUCUUCUGACAGGAAUUACCAAUCCUUUAUUGGCUAUGUCAUCCUCUGUUUAGUAGAUGUAUGGUAUGGUAUGGUUACUAGGUAGUGUUGCUCGAUACCCGAGCUUGCACCAGUAUUAGCUGGCUAUUCCACUAUUGCCAAAAGAAUUUUGGCUAUUGGCUUUCCAGCUUUCACCUCUUUGCAGCUUCUGGAGCUGCUUAAGCGCUUAACUUCUACCAAAGUGUGGUAUACAUUGGAUGGAAUUAGAGUGGGCGUGGCUACCUACAUCAGGCAAGAAUAGGAGUCGUAUUUCGUUUUGUACCACCGAAUAAGAUAGCAAGAAAUCAGAUCAAGAAUGGAACCUGUGGACCCUCCGACAGUACGAGCUCUUAUUCGCUUGGUUGCUCAACCCCUAUCUCCCAGGCUACGACCUAUCGCAUUGCCUUCGAUGAGUCUAUAUCGGAUGGGUGUUCAAGUCUUUUGAAAAACCAGCCCAUUCUAGUCUAUCUGUCCCACUCUAAAGAAGAUAGUGAACCUGAGGUUGUGCUGUCUCCAAUCCCACGAGUCCAAUAGGAAGAGCUAGUCCUCUAAAGUAAAGUAGGCGAAUUAUGGCUAAAUCAAAUAAUUCUUACUUUCACGGCCAUCAAACAUUCCAAGACAUCUCUUCAAGACUAUCCAACUCAGCUCUGCGUAGGCAGAGCCAGGAACUAGAUCCGUAUCCCAUGAUCAGUAAUCUUACAAUUACACAACCACCAGAUCCUUUAGGUUUGUUCGAUCUAUCGAUAACUGAUAGAAAGACGCCUUUGACACUUCCUCCAGGUGGAGUUGAUUAACACUCUCAUGGUUGGUCGAUGGAAAUAGCAAGACGAGACAGACAUGAUAAUCUGAGAAAUAUAUGUGGUGAUCCCUUAAGCAAUAUCUAAGAAUUCAAUGUGUCCAAGAUUCAAUUGAUUGGUUGAAGCCAAGGUCUCGAGCUAGUCCAUCUUCCUAUAUGAUAUUCUUAAUAAUGCGCAGCACCAAGCCUGAAAUUGGGGAAUGAAUUGAAUCGAUUGCCUUCCUUUCCUGGACUGGACUGAAACUAAUAGGAUGCUUCCUCGUCUGCACUUCAACUAGAGGUUGUUGAUAUCACUCUAGAUUCUCAAAAGGAUAUUGGAUUGAUUUCAAAUCAAGGAAACUAUUGAAAUCGGGUAGCGAACCUAUUGUUCCUUAUUCUUUUGUCCUCCUCGGCUCUAGUUGAACAAUGCACACACCCCGCUUUAGCUGCACAUAAUAAGGUGAUCCGUGAGGCGGCUAGCUAUUAGUUAGUGCGAUGUGCAGUGAAGUGAGAGAUCUCUCUACUCUAGUAGACCAGAUGAAAUAGCUGCAAUGACUAAUGUUUGAUUGGGAAGACAGAAUACAUACGUUGACGUGCCCAGUCGAGCUACCGUAAGGUAGUCUAGUUAAGGAAAGGAAACCGGCUAUUCCCCUCAUGCUAAGGGUGCGAUUCCUUACUCUCCCACAAGAUCACACUAAAUACAAUAGGUGCGUGAUCUACUAGAUUCUUAUAGAAUCAAUUUAUAACCUUAGUUGAUAGACAGGAACCACCAUCCCAUAACAAAAAAGGGGGGCGAAGGUUAUUUUGUACCAAUGAAGAUGGAUUUCUCUCUCGAGCUGCUCAAAGAUCUUUAAGUGGCUUACGAGGUAGACUUGAUCAUGAUCCAUAUCCAACCUUCUCCCAUCUGCUUCUGUCUUUAAAGAUUAGAGUCAUCGACGCGAUUCAAGUCCAGUGCUGAUAAAAUCCUGUUGUCUAGUUCGGGAAAGCAAGUGAUUGAUUAGUUCCAUUGGUCUAUUGGCUUCAGCUUCCAGUCUACCUCAUUUCUAUCAAAAUGAUCUGGUGUCUAUGUCCAUGCCUGAGGUUGGUAAACCCUAUAUCUAUUGCGGGGUGGUUUGAGGAAGGGACAGCUUGUAACCCACGACUUACUACUACAAAGAUUCUGGCGGAGAGCUUUUCACAUAUAGAUAGGUCGGGAUGAGGAAGCUCCGUAGUCAACUAAUAGAUAGAAAAUCCACCUUGUGAACCAUGUUUGUCUUAAAGUACUGUCUGAGAAGGAAUAUACCUGUUCCAAUCCCUCUAGUGGCUAUACUGAUUGACAUAUGUAGCUUUCGUAGUCAAAGCUCACAGGGCCAAAUGCUCUAUUGGAGUGGGCAUGAACACACACAAUCAAGGUUCGAAGAACUUCUACUUCACGCCUUGAGGAUUCUAUGAUGCUCACUCAAUGGUGUUGUGGCGAUUGCAAGCAAUCAAUAAACGAGGAAGCCAAAUUAUGGAUCCAAGAAGGCUACAUCAGAAGGAAGAGUAGGUGUUGCUAUGCCGUUGGCUGGGACUGAGACAGAGAGAGGGGAGCAUAGUGUUGGGGAACGUAGCAUAAAUUCAAAAUUUUCCUACGUGUCACCAAGAUCUAUCUAUGGAGUCAUCUAGCAACGAGGGAGGAGUGGAUCUACAUACCCUUGUAGAUCGCGCGCGGAAGCGUUCAAGAGAGCGGGGUUGAUGGAGUCGUACUCGUCAUGAUUCAAAUCACCGAUGAUCCUAGCGCCGAACGGACGGCACCUCCGCGUUCAACACACGUAUGGAGCAGCGAAGUCUCCUCCUUCUUGAUCCAGCAAGGGGGAAGGAGAGGUUGAUGGAGAUCCAGCAGCACGACGGCGUGGUGGUGGAAGUAGCGGGAUUCCAACAGGGCUUCGCCAAGCGCUGCGGGAGGAGGGAGAUGUGUCAUGGGAGGGAGAGGGAGGCGCCAGGGCUUGGGUUGGUGCUGCCCUCCCUUCCCCCCACUAUAUAUAGGGCCAAGGGAGAGGAGGGGCGCAGCCUUUGGCCCUUCCUCCAAGGAAGGUGCGGCCAAGGGAGGAGUCCAUCCUCCCCAAGGCACCUAGGAGGUGCCUUCCCCCUUUAGGACUCUUCCUUUCCCCUCUUCUCUUGGCGCAUGGGCCUCUUGGGGCUGGUGCCCUUGGCCCAUAUAGGCCAAGGAGCACCCCCUACAGCCCAUGUGGCCCCCCGGGGCAGGUGGCCCCACCUGGUGGACCCCCGGGACCCUUCCGGUGGUCCCGGUACAAUACCGGUGACCCCGAAACUUGUCCCGAUGGCCGAAAUAGCACUUCCUAUAUAUAAUUCUUUACCUCCGGACCAUUCCGGAACUCCUCGUGACGUCCGGGAUCUCAUCCGGGACUCCGAACAACUUUCGGGUUACCGCGUACUAAUAUCUCUAUAACCCUAGCGUCACCAAACCUUAAGUGUGGGUUCGGGAGACAUGCAGACAUGACCGAGAUGACUCUCCGGUCAAUAACCAACAGCGGAAUCUGGAUACCCAUGUUGGCUCCCACAUGUUCCACGAUGAUCUCAUUGGAUGAACCACGAUGGCAAGGACUUAAUCAAUCCCGUAUAUAAUUCCCUUUGUCUAGCGGUACGAUACUUGCCCGAGAUUCGAUCGUCGGUAUCCCGAUACCUUGUUCAAUCUCGUUACCGGCAAGUCUCUUUACUCGUUCCGUAACACAUCAUCCCGUGAUCAACUCCUUGGUCACAUUGUGCACAUUAUGAUGAUGUCCUACCGAGUGGGCCCAGAGAUACCUCUCCGUCACACGGAGUGACAAAUCCCAGUCUCGAUUCGUGCCAACCCAACAGACACUUUCGGAGAUACCCGUAGUGUACCUUUAUAGCCACCCAGUUACGUUGUGACGUUUGGCACACCCAAAGCACUCCUACGGUAUCCGGGAGUUGCACAAUCUCAUGGUCUAAGGAAAUGAUACUUGACAUUAGAAAAACUCUAGCAUACGAACUACAUGAUCUUGUGCUAGGCUUAGGAUUGGGUCUUUGUCCAUCACAUCAUUCUCCUAAUGAUGUGAUCCCGUUAUCAAUGACAUCCAAUGUCCAUGGUCAGGAAACCGUAACCAUCUAUUGAUCAACGAGCUAGUCAACUAGAGGCUUACUAGGGACAUGGUGUUGUCUAUGUAUCCACACAUGUAUCUGAGUUUCCUAUCAAUACAAUUCUAGCAUGGAUAAUAAACGAUUAUCAUGAACAAGGAAAUAUAAUAAUAACUAAUUUAUUAUUGCCUCUAGGGUAUAUUUCCAACACAUAGCCCCUAUGAUCCCGGUAAAGAGUUCCAACUAAGCUCUUCUCAGGUUCUUUCUUUCUCUUCCAUUCUUAUGUUUAUAUAUUAAAGUGUAGUUUUCUUACUAUAAUAUAAUAAUAUUAAUCUAAUAUGCCCAUUGGUGUUCCAAAAGUACCUUACCGGAUUCCCGGAGAUGAAGAAGCGACUUGGGUUGACUUAUACAAUGUUAUGUAUCGAGAAAGGACACUUUUUUUAGUUCACUGCCCUAUACAUAGAAAGAAGUGCUUUUCCACCGGUAUCAACAUUCUAUCUAGAAUCAGUAGCGAUAAUUGUUGUAUUGUGAGCCAGCCCCAUAAGACACUACGCACCUCCAAAUUCUAUAUGAUUUUUCCAAUCAUUUCAUUUAUACGACCUGCAAAUAAGAUAAGAUCUUGGCUCGCCCUACAAAAAACAACUAUAUGCCCUAUAAACUUGCUUGCUUCUUCGAAUCUCGAAAUAACAUAUAGAAAGUGUUUCUGUGAUGAGACCAUUCUCGAUCGAUAAAUGCGAAGGAGCCUAUGUGUUUCAUGGGCAGCCGGCCAAUAGGGGAAGGUUGUGAAUCCGGCGAACCGACCGCUUUAAGAACGUGAUUGUCUUCUCUCACUUAGUUAUCAAUUGACAAAGAUGACCCAUUCUUUUUCGCCCUAAAAACGACAAUGGUAUGGUACUUUUUCUUCCAAUCGAGAUUGUGUGGGUGUCCGCUCAUGUUCACAUUACAUGCUAAAUAAGGCUUUCAUUGGAAAAACCAACGCCGACGUCAAGAUCAGUCUCCUUUCCUUUCUCUUUUCAGGAGCAGAGCUGAAAAAGAUUGGGAAAUUCCAAUGAUUCUUUGUUCAUUAUCAUGUUGAUUCCUCACAAUCACUCUUUGUGAUGCUGCGGAACCAUGGCAAUUAGGAUCUCAAGACGCAGCAACACCUAUGAUGCAAGGAAUCAUUGACUUACAUCACGAUAUCUUUUUCUUCCUCAUUCUUAUUUUGGUUUUCGUAUCACGGAUGUUGGUUCAUGCUUUAUGGCAUUUCAACGAGCAAACUAAUCCAAUCCCACAAAGGAUUGUUCAUGGAACUACUAUCGAAAUUAUUCGGACCAUAUUUCCAAGUGUCAUUCUUUUGUUCAUUGCUAUACCAUCGUUUGCUCUGUUAUACUCAAUGGACGGGGUAUUAGUAGAUCCAGCCAUUACUAUCAAAGCUAUUGGACAUCAAUGGUAUCGGAGUGCACCUCUUAACGAGGGUGAUUUAAGUGCAACGAAAUGUACUGGUGGUUCGCGAAGCAUCUGGCUUACCGGUCAUCUCCCAUUACUUCUACCCAUCUACGCGAUUCUGAGAUCCAGCCAUUGGAACUGAGAGAUCCCCGUUGUUUGACCUACUCAAGUAGGCUUUCUAUUGAAUAUCCACCUGUGGUAAUUACUUGACUGGUAGAAGCACCAAGCUUUGGUACUAUAGUCGUACUCGAGACCCUAUUGAGCUGCUUAGUCUUCUCCUUUCUUUGGCUGGUGAAGGGACGGUGGAGUUGUUGUUUCAUUGCUCUCGCGCUCUGAUCUUGAUAUUGAUUGCCAACUCGGAUAGAGGAAGUAAGUUGUUCUGUUUGGGCCAUCGUUCUCUAUUCUAUUGGAUUUGACACUUUUUCUGAUCUCCCUCUGCCUGUUUUUGAGCUCAAUAAAAGAGAAAGUUUCAUGCCAGUAUGGGCGAAAACCAUCAAUUUUCACAUUCCCCUAAUAAAUGGGUGUUUUUGAGGUCCUUUUUCCGAUCAGUUUCAUGCCAGUAUGGGGUCAAAGUAUACAAAAAUCACAUUCUCCCCGUAGAACGCUGUUUUUAGAGCUCUCCUUUUUUGGAAACUUUCAUUGCGCAUAGUAUGAAAACCAACAGAAAUCCCACUGGCAAGGGUGUUGUGCCGGUUGCCGACCAGGCGAUCGACCAGCUUCCGACCAGAAGCGUUGGUCCAGUGAGGUGAGCCACGACCAGAACAGAGCUGUUACAAAGGAAGCCCACUCCCUUAUGUUCUGAUGGGAAAUAGGACUAGGAUCUGUAAUAGUUGUAUCUGCUUUCCUUUGGUUUGCAUGGGCACGUGAUACAUUCCUAGCAUGACGUUGGAACAAGCAAGGACCCAGCGUGAUCCAGAGGGCAAGCCCAUCCCGGGUAACUUUGUAUCCUGGCCCAAGCCGGAAGUUUGUCGAACUUGUAGUCUAGGACAUUGGUAGGGAUCCGCAUGGGCACGCUGAACAAUCCGAUGGCCACCCACAACACGAAACAUCGGCCCCGCUCGUAGCGCUUGCCGAUCAUCCCUAUCUCUACCGGGCCCGUAUUCCCCACCUCGCUGAUACUUAUUCAUUUCUUUGAAUCGAUAAAGAUGGGUAUCCAUGCCUCUUAGUUCCAGGGAGAUACUGGUUAUGCCAGUGUGGACAAGUUGAAAUGGAGCAAACCCGCAAGAGCAUGGAGCAUAGGAUUUGAAUUAGCCCAAUGCAGAUGGCAGCGAUCGAGCAACUAAACGAGCGAACUCCAAAUAGAAAUCUUUUGCGCUUUCCUAAUGUGUUCUAACAGGUGUUACAAGCUUCGAUAAUCUAGCGUGAACUAACCCGAACUAUGGUUUCGCUUCCCUAAACUAUGUGGUAUAAUCACUUUAAGUGAAGCAUGUCCCGAUGAUUCCCCGGAUAGGAGAAGACCAGCUAGGUCAUUUGUUUGUAUAAUUACGAGUCAAUUCACUCCUGCAGUUUUUGCCCGAGUCAAAAGACAAGCAAGUCCUUUGAGUACACAGUGAACGAAGUGUCAGAAUGUGAGCCUAGGGUGAACAGUGGUGCUUCCAUGGCAGUUGGAUAGUAGAUCAGAGAGGCAGGCCAGUAGAAUAUGGAGUUGUUUUCGUUCUCUUGUUAUUCUUUUCUGGCUAUAAGUAUUUCUGUCUUGGAUUCGUUUGGCCAUUAGGUUUGAAUUGCCUUCUCUUUCUGUCUUCCAUUUGAAUUCCGUGAUUUAUCCUGCUAUUUGGAGAGUAGUUGAUAUGGUCUUUCUUGGGUUUGGCUUUCAAAGUGCGGUUCGAAAAGAGUGAGUUGCUGUCAAUGGCUGGAAUGGAAUAUAUAAAUAAGAUGGAAAAUAUGGCUUUCUUUCCAUCUACCUAUUUGAAGUAGUAAGCUUAUCUUUUAGGUGGGAAUAGUUUACAAUCGAGUUUGAAAGCAUUAAUGAAGUGAGCCUAUUACAUCAAGUUCUUUUUUGACCUUUUCAUUUGAAAGUAGCCAUAGGCAAGGAAGGCUACCUAUUGAUACGGAAAGAAAGCCAUCUCUGGCUAUUCUUUUUUAGGGUGGAAAAGAGUGCUCCAUAUCCAUAUAUGUGCUUGGAGGGAAGGCCACAUCUUUAAUUGUAUUCUUUUUCGAGGUCAUCCUCUUCAGCCUGUGUUAGUAGUGCUAGUUUUUCGUUUUUAGUACCUUACAGGUCUAUAGAAAGGCUUAGAGGAUCCUAAAGUGUCAGUUUAUGUGGGAAUUGCUUUGUUCUUUUUCAAGCAAAUAAGCUUGAAAGAAAGUGCUUUUAUUUGAGUGGAAAUGAAAGAAGAAAUCGUCUAUCUAGACAGAGUAUGUGUAUUAUUCGGUCCAUGCUUGCCCUUCUAGGCCCUUUAGAUCUAUAUCUAUCUUACUAUCGAAAAGGGUUUUAGGAGGAGCAGAGCAAGUCGCGUUUAUAGCCAGCAGUUCUUAUGGGCGUAACUCCCUCUAGUAUUCCAAUAAUCUCCUUUCCUCCAAUAUGUCACUAGUAUUCAAGUAUGCGGCUCGUAUUAGUAUGUCAGGCGUUCGAGAGACCAGAAUUCUUUUCAUAGCCUUCCCUUCAAUAUGCCAUCUUGUCUUGCGGCGCUCUAUCCUUCCAAGCGAGCCUGUGCUCGGGGAGCACUCCUUCUAUCAUUCAUAAAAUAUGCUUAUCUCUCCUUGGUCGUAAAGCUUCGCUUUGCUUUCAUUUACCAAAAAUGCCAUUGGAGUUUCCAGCCGGGAGGCGCAGUCUCGUACAAGCAACUUCUCUUCCUCUUUCGAAAAGUAGCAAAGCGGUGUCAGGUUGGAAGCCUGCGGGCCAGUCUGUUCUAGCGCCUCAUUCUUUACAUCCUUGCAUUACUCUCUUCCUUUCCUCCUUGCCCUAACUUGAACUGGCUGAAACUAAAAUGGCCAGACUUUCUAAUGAUGGCACUGGCUUGGCUGGAUCGACAUGAACUUCUAUUAGGACAACAACUGUUUUGCCCCUUGUCGAACUUUGACUGAGACAUAGCCUUGCUGCUGCGGGGCAGCCGACUUAUAAUUCUAGUUACUGUCCUUCUUGUUCAUGUAGUGCCUGCCUCUCUCCAAAACUCCUUCCCGCACUUGAUUGAGCAAAAGAUGCAGCUUCACUAAUUGAGUUAGGCACCUGCACUUCCACUGCAGCUCUGAGUUCAUUCUUCAGACCCAAAAGAAAUUGUGUCACCAGCAGCAGUCCUCCUACAUUCAGAUCAUACAAUUAACCUAGCGGAGCGGAUUCAACUACUUAAGAUAUUCUUCCUCAGAGCCAGUCUGCUCUCUAUCAUCAUCUAUCGUCUAAAUAAGUAAAUAAUGACACCGAUAUAGAUCUUGUUGAGGACCCCCAUCCAAGCCAUAGGAAAGAAAGCCGUUGGAGUGCGACGCUCAAAGCAAAAGUAAGUAAUAGGGAAACAAGGUUCUAUUAGGCUUGCAGGGCUGCUGCUCUUUGAAAGACGAGGUCCAGUGGACGAGGCGGGUCGAGCAAGUUGAGUACUCAGAUUCGGCGCUUGCUUGACAUCUCUCUUUGAAUCUAAAACCUGACAUGACCAUUGAUUCCGCCUCCAUUGCCGGAAAGGAUAACGAUGGAUCUUUAGCUAGCUCAUAGGCAGAGGAAAGGUAUAUGUUAACAGAUAAGGAAAAGUGGAUCCGCUACCAAAUACGUUGUGGAGCCGUGUUCUCUAGGGAGGUUUGAGGGUUCUUGGGAUGGGUUCUAUGUUGCUGCCCAUUCAUUUCCUAUUAAUAAGGAGAUAUGUAAAGCCAGUCAUUCUAUUAAAGAGAACUUCCAGUGGCAGAUUUUAGAUGGUAAUUCGGUGCGAUUGUUAUAAGACCCUUGGCUCAGUGGGACUGCAUUGAAUAGAAGGCCUAUUCCUAUGAACAUGUCAGAGCUGUUGGAAGGUUUGUCUCUCUCCCACUAUCUCAUUCCUAAUAGGGAUUGGCAUCUUAGUUUAUUAGCUUUUUUUCUCCCUGAUGAGGUGGUGCGAGAAAUUUCAGCUGUACCAAUUCCUAGAAGCAUCUGUUCUGAUACUUUGACAUGGGGGUCUUCUGUUCACUCUGACGAUUAGGAUGAAGGAAGUAUACAGGGAGGUCUGCCAGCCAUUUAAUGAGGAAGGUGGUCUUCAUUUCUCUUGCGUAUGGAAGCUUAAGGUCAUUCCCUGCAUUCUGUUUUUUUAGUGGAAAGCUUAUUGGAAUAGACUUCCGUGCAGAGAAUGAACUUCUUGUCUCAAGGAAUUUGCUCCCAUUGUCUCAGUGUUUUUUUAUGUUUGUGAAGGGGUAGUGGAGGACAUAGACCAUGUUCUGGUGAAGUGCACAGUAGCUAAUCAAGUGUGGAUGGUUGGUCUUCCUGAACUCUUUGAGCUGGAGCUUUGGACUCUACGAGGUAUUGGGUGCUUGCCCUAUUGAGAGUAUCUUACAUUCUCUCUUCACCAGACAGAUAGACAAAUAGGCAAUCCGAUAGAAAGAUUAUGGCUUCCUUACUAUCAGCAAGCUCCCACAGGCGAUGAACUGCUUCUGACUUCUUCAUUCGGUUUGUAGCCAUACCGUAUAGAGUGAAAAAUGCCUUUUUUGGAAGUAGCUAGAUUCAAGCAAGCAUCCUAGCAAAACGAUCUUUUGACAAUGGGCUCUGCCCAACACUGGGACUGACUGACUUUAUACAGAGAUAGGAAAGGCUGCAAUCCAAGUUUGAUAAGGCGGUUAAAGACAUUCAUUGUGGUUGGUCACGUUGGUGAAUUAGAUGAACAAUCGAUAUUACCAUCUUGGACUGUGAAGUCAUCCAUCCAGACAUACUUCUUAGGUUAAAUAGCCAAACAUCUGAGUGAGUCAGUCUACCAAUGCCUUGUGACUCAUGACAGUAGUCCACCAGAUCCCUAGUUGCUGUUUUUGUCCUUUUGGAUACCACCUAUUUUCAUGUUGAAAAGAUUCCGGUACCUUCACCACAAACACAAGGCCUGCUGCUCCCUAAGUUGUAAAGUCGCCUGUUUGGUAAUCGGAGUGAAUCUAUACUUACUCAACUACUAACUCUGAAUGUUCUCGCUAUCGAAGGAUUUCUUUCUUUGCUAUGAUGAUUGAGGCUCAAUUCCUUCCCGAAAGAAUAGUAGACUGACAAACGUAUCUUACUCGUUCCUUCAACUGCUUGACUGAAAGAACUCUUAGUUCUCAUUCUGUUCUUUCUUGUUUUUUCAAGAUCCAGGAAAGACUUUCUUUAAAAAGAGGAAUCCAGAUGGAUAGAUUGUGAAAUAGAGUAUCUCCUUCGAUUGAAACAUCAAGGAUGAAAUAGAGGACUUCUAACCGAAUGAUUGAUGGAAUUUAGGUGCGAUUCCUAGUAUUCAAAUAAAAGAAUAUUAGAUUACAUAUAAUUUAUUCGUGUUCCUACUCCAUUCUAUUCUCUAUUUCAAUCUCAUAUGAGGUAGCUGGCAAAGAUAGGCUAUGUCAACCCUUUCAAACUGUUUUCCAUAAAAAAAGCAUAAAUCCGCUUAUGGCAUUCACCCAAGCAUACAGAGACAGAGGAGAGCUUGCCUGCGGUAAAGGAAGGUUUUUACUACGAAGAAUACGAGUCUGCUUUAACCAACAGGGGAGUGGGAAAUACACUCCCCUGUUUGUUACAACUAAUUCCCCGCCUAUAAGCAGGUAGCUUGUGAGCUAUCGAUCAAUUGUGAAUGUUCUCAUAGAAUUGGAUCUUAUCUUAUUCACAUAAGUCUUUCAUUUCGUACAUGUUUCCAAGAAAGAAAUUAGGACAACCAAUUAAGCAUUGGAUGAGUCAAAGGCUUCUUCGAGCAUUUCCAGAUCAACUAGGACAAGACUCAAUAAAGUCACCAAUGUUGCUGCUUGCUUGACUUUGCUUUUUUGAAUCUACUUCUUUGCUUGUCUCGCCAAUGAAGAUACUGCAUCAUCUCUAUACUUGCUAGAUAACCAACACUUUGCUUCCCAUUUCUUUUGCAAUUAGAUCGAUCUCCCAAUGCUUAUAUAUGUGAUGCCCCAUAGUGAUGAAUGGAGCAAAAGCUAGGAAGAAUUAGGAAGCAUCAGCCCGAAAUGACCCCAAGACUUAUUUGCAGGAAUCAUAGCCAGCCAAUAGAAUUACUCUUUUAAUAUAGCAGCGGUGACGCCAUGGAUCAAUGAAGAAGGUUUUGUCUUAUCCCAGCAGCAAUGAGAGCCUCUUUCUUCUCCUGAUGUGAAUACACAAACCCCUAUAGCGUCCGACACCACUCACAUACCCUAGAAAUUCUUGUUGUGGGGCAAGUGAAAGUACUUUGAUAUGCCCCAAAGGUCUUCGAACCUUGGUAUUUUGAAUCAGAUUGAUAGCUUUUUGAAUGGCUGCGGUUCCGGGACUCAAGUCUUUAAUUUACAGGUUCUACAUUAGGUUCACGAAACGGAUACCUAUCUACACAGCAAGCUUCUUCAACAGGUCAUUGGACAUCACCCUCACUUCUUCUAGCAGGAAAGCGCGUUAAGAGGUAAGAUCGCACCUCAAGUCAAAGGGCCUCAUUAUAGUUGGAGGCAACACAACACACGCUGAACAAACCUCAACUUGCCUAUUUUGUGUAACUGGUUGAAACUACUAAUUUCCAGUUCAUCUUACGAUGGUAUACGAUGACGGGCCAACCUUCUAUACUAGUGCAUUCAUAGGAGGACGAAGCAGGAAUUAGGAAGCCCUACACUUCAACCGGAGCGAACUUCACACUCGAACUUGGAUAUAGCAAAUAGAUCAAAUAGGCUCAGAGAGAUACGGGGCAUAAUAAAAAAAAAGAACUGUUGGAGUGGCAAUACAGCUAGAUAGAUAGAUAGAAGGUCUGAUUCUAAACGAAGUCUGAUCUGUCACACCCAGCCAUAAACAACCAUUCCAGAUUCCCAAGAUGAAGUGGAAAGAAAAAGGAUGCAUUCAGGAUCUCAUACUUCGGCGAAUCUAGGGGCUCAGAAGAGUGUCACCAACGACGGUAAAUCGGUGGGCCAAACCAAAGAAAGACUGUCUCUUUGACGACGUGGUCACGAGGAUACGAUCCGACAAGAGAGAUGCUGAAGAAUAUGCCCUCCUUAAGGGGUCAAGCACUCGAUCAGAACUAAAUCAUCCUGCGGCACUCGCAGCAUGAGCACAUAGGGCAAGAUGAAGAGAAGGAUAAACACUAAAGAGAUCGUCAACUUCACCUUGGCAUGCUUCCAUCAGUGCCUCAAAACAUUUGCUAUUCUUAUCUCUAGAAGGGUGCUUCUAUUGUUGUAGUGUUUAUAGCGAAAGAGGACAAAAGUCCAGCCGGACACCGUAUAACUCCGGUAUCGCGUCGCGGGUGAAAAGGGCCUGAAUAUUUCCUACCAGCAAGCACCCCCACUAACUCACACGUCAUUCUUGCAUCACACUGACACUGGGCCCGAGAAAUGGCAGAAAGCAAAAGGUGUGAACCUUGUAAUCUUUUCUAUAUAGAAAAACAUACCCUCUUCGAAGCUGAACGUUGUGGGGCACUGCUGUCAGCAGAACAUUUCCUAGUGUGUAAGCAAAUUUUAAGGUGAUAAAAAGGCAGCGAAGUGUUCCAGCGGCCAGCCACGACGCUCGCCCCACCAUCCAGACAGAGAAACCCCUCACCAAGCAGCGGAGCUCAGCAUUUCCACCACAUCGACGCCUCCGGUCUCCCCCGCGGUUCCCUUUCCCGAGAAGCAGCUGAUCUUGGCCGUUGGAUCGAUGUAUAAAUAGCCACGGGCACGCAAGGCCGGACCUCUAUUUCUUCACCUGCCUCCCCUCCCACCUGGGCAUGGCGACCUUCUCCAUGGAGGUGUUCGACAACGAGGUCGCCCCGUCCACGCUCAGCAGCAUCGCGCUCAUCCUGCGCGUCGCCGCCGAGAUCAAGCCCGAGCACCCCCAAGUCGCUUACCUCUGUACGUGCAUUCGUUUUCACGGGGAUACGUAUGGUGCAUUUUGCAUGCUGUUUUGAUGCGUUUGGGUUUGGAUUUUGUGGCAGAGCGAGCGCUCCUGGUUCAUUUUUUUGGCGUCGGAUCAAUGCCGCGUAGGCUGUGUGUACUUGGAAAAGUUUUGUGUUCCCACGUUCAAAAAUGUUUGUUCUUAUAUUUUUUUGAGGGGCACAUGCGCGCCUCGAUUCGUGGUUUUCGAGGAUGUUUUGCUUUUGAUUCAUAAUCAUACGAGUCUAUGCAGAAAAAUAGUUAGUGUGAUUUCCUGGAGAACUUUUCUGGCUUUGCCAUUUUUCCUUGCUUUGGAGAGCUAAUUUUGGAGUAUGUUCGUAAGCGUCCGCAUUAGAUUUUGCUUUCGGCGAUCAUCCAUACGUAUUACUUGUUCAUUUCGGAGCACCUUUGUGUUUCACACUUGAGGGAGCAGAUUAGAUGUACUAGAUAGUGGUAUUUCCGAUACUUUCUUCGUUUUGUUGAAAUCAUGUUGCAAUCGGAUAGUUAUGGUCAAUUGGUUUGGCUAGAAUAGUUUCACGUAUCUCGAAUGGGGACUCGGGUAAUUGGUUUCUAGUUUCUACUACAUCCUGCAAAGUAAAUGGAAGUUUCUAGCGUUUUGCUCGCUUUAUUUUUCUAUUUUUUUGGAGAGGCAAAUUGGGUUAGCCUUAUUUUCUGGACGUCCUUUUGAAAUGAUUCAAUUUUACUAGUUUGGAAAAGAAGCGGGGAAAUAGACAUGGUGAGAAAGAUUGAAAGAAAAUAAGAUUGAAUCUAACCUAAAAGCCAGAGCAAAAUAGGGUCUAGGAGCAGGAAGAUUGGGGGAUUUUUUUAUCGGAUUUUGCAUAACUACCCUCUCGAAUCCAAAGAUGCCACUACAUAAUUUUAUGUUUUUGCUCUUAUGCAACACCACAGGAUAAUAGCCCCAGUCUCGCGAAGCGCGUGAAGAAGAGCGAUGCCCGUGAAAUUGAGAGUUUUUAUCAGCAGUACUACGAGAACUACGUCCGUGCACUUGACAAAGGGGAACAAGCUGACCGGUAAUUCUGAAGCUCCAAACCAGAGCUCUAUCUCGUUAUAAAUCUAAUCCUAGCCAUGACACACCCUGUCCCAUGCCAAUGUCGCCUUCAGGGCCCAACUUGGGAAGGCCUACCAGACCGCCAGAGUCCUCUUCGAGGUGCUCCGUGCCGUCAACAAGAAUGAGAAGGUUGAAGAAGUCAACCCAGAGGUUUCGAGAGUGCCCAACUUCACCACCCGCUCUUAGAUUCCAGAAUUCGUGGCCUGAGCUUCAUUCAUUGAUUUAUUCGGGUGCAUUCCUUUCGCACCCCGGUUAUGAAAUUCCGUACUCAUUAAGUGAUGGCCCCCUUCAUCGUCAGAUUUAGGUUCACAGCUAGCAUAGCAUUCUCAAAUGCAGAUUGCUCCCCGCUUGAGCUACCAUACUUUGUUGGAUUUAGGACAGACCCCCCUAUCAUAGUUGUCCCUAUAGAUAUAGAGAUCGCCCUGGUGUUAUUAGUACACCUACCCUUAGCUAUCAAUAUCAAAAUCCCUACUUGUCUUUGCGUUCAACAAUGCACACUAACGGAUGAAAUCUACGCCCAGCGGGGCAGUUGUCCUUGUCCUCGGUUCAGUAACGGCAGUAGUGGAAAUACCUGUUUCGGUUCCGGGAAUCAGAUUGGUUCCUUCCUCUGCUAAGGCUUUGGUUUCAUCGUAUUGACUACGAAAGGUACGGUGUAGGUUCCCACGAUCUUUCCUACGAUUUCUACGAAUAGAUGACUACGGCUAACGCAAGAGGGAUUCCUGCGACUAACGCUAGAGCAAAGGGAAAGGACAAUGAAGCAGCAAUAAACAGAUUGAAGAGCUAUUAGUAUAGCAAGUAUUAAUUCAACAAUUAGUUAGUUUGGGAAGACUGCUUUGCCUGGAUUGAUGGCGAGCCUGGAAGCCUUGCUUCUCCACUGGGGGCUAAUUCCAUAAACAAGUUGUUCUAUCUCAAAAAUCAUUUUAGGAAUGAAUGAGAAUUUCAUUAGAUUUCGUAUACAAGGUAAUGCAUCGUACCUCCAUUAAAGGCUCAUUUUCUCCAAUCUCUGAAUUUCUGCGAAACGAAUUGGCAUAUAGAUAAUAGGUUUCUGGCAUGACCAAAAUGAACUUCACAGAUCCGAUACAAGAAAGGAUCGAUUCAAACAGCAAUUGUUAAGCGUCUCUGGAUAUUGUAGCAACCUACACGCCUGUCUAACCAAUGUAGUUCUAUCGUCAAGUUGCUCUGCUUGUCCGUUCUGAUCUUUCCAUUUCAUGUAAAGCACAUGAACGCGGUGGAUCGUACCCCCCUGAAACCUACAGAUAGGGAGCUCCCAAUAGAAGGGAGUAACCGAAAUCAAGCUUGCUCACUGAGCAUAAGAACAUUGAAAGCAGGCGGACUAUCAGCAGCAUUGCGAUUCUUUAUUUGGGCAAAGCCAAGGUAUCACUUCGGGAAGAAAUGUUGUUUCAAACCACAAAUGAGUUGGAAUGGUCAAUUUGGUUUUUCAGCUACUAGUACACUCGCUAUGAAAUCCUAGAUCUUCUUGUGAGCUGUCUCCACACCAUUGAGAAAUAUUUGGAUCAAUGAUAGCAGAGGCAGGCAAGAAAAGCUGCUCAAAGGGGACGGCACGAUGAUCGAGUUCGUGCUCGGGGAGUGCCAUGUCUAGCUAGUUCGUGCAGACACCCGCCCUUUCCAAUCAAUGGAGAAUGGUUACUAGAGCUAGCGCCUGUCCCACUUUAGAACACUAAGAACGUAAUAAGCCUAGCCGGGACAAAUGCACUCAGUGUUAGUCCGAUCACCUCGGCUAAAAUCAUCUUCCCUUUAUUAAUGACCAAGGGUAUCCAUAUCAUGAUAUGUAGAUACAAGAGGGCAGAGGCAUUGAUGCGGGUAGGAUGUGUGUCUGCUUUCCUAUUGUUUGAAGGAGUAGAUACAUUCAUUUCCUUUUGCCAGAGUGAGAGUGAGAGUUGUGUGGGAUGUUGACAAUCACUAUCUCGUCUAGUGACGAGUGCUAACCUUACAUGAAUCAUGCCAAGCACAGAAGAAAAAGAGGGGCUGGUCUUAACUGAAAGUUGUCCUUGUCCGGCUGAGGAAAGAAAGGGAUGACGAGACGGGGACCCAAAGGUUCCCGGUGAGGAGGCCCGAUGCAAUGUUCGAAACUAUUGUUCCAGUUGUUCUUGUAUGAGGAAGAAGACUCCUUACGAAAGCUGGUUCAAACCUUUGUUCCUUGUUCCUCGGCCUUAGUUAGCAUUUUUUCGAACAGUGAAAUACACCUUUGUCCUGCGUUGCAUGGUGAGAGUGUGAAUGGAGACGGGGUGCCACUUUUAAAUAGGGGCAAUCCCGAAUAAGAACUGAAGGAAAAACAGGCAAGCACUCAAGCAUGAGCUGAAAUACCGGGUCCUCACAUAGGAAAAUUAGUAUGACAGGCCGAUAGAUCCAGUGUCCCCAGGUCCAAAUUCUUUCCAAUCAAGUACGAGUUCAAAACAGAGUUUUCUGGGGCUAUCGAUUCAUAGUUUUCGAAUCUAUCGAGUUUCUCCAGAUCAGGAGGCUUUACAUACAAAGCCGACAACACGAUAACAUUACGCUUCUCUUUCUUAUUCUUAUUCUUAUUUAUAUAAUUUGUGCUACUUUCACAUGAAGUGAAAGGGACAUUGUUCAGAAGAGCCUUCCUACAUUUGCGCCCUGCUAAAAGCUAUCGCACCACAUGGUGCAGAGACACUCGACAAAAGACGAGCAACAGCCCUUGGCAGCCCCCAUGGCUGCUGCCUCUGCGCCAUCUUGCACUCGAUCCUCCGGCCUUCUGCCUGGAUCCAAGGAUGAUGGAACCUGGGGCGGGUUCAAAAUGGCAGGAACUUCAACUAGUGGAGCAGGCAGAGCGGGGGGUGCAUCCGCGGGUUGAGCCUGAUCCCCCGCUGGAUCUGGCAGAACUGGCGGUGCGUCUGCGGGUUGAGCCUGACCCCCUGCAGGAUUUGGUAAAACUUUCUCUCCGUCAUCUAAUAAACAGUUUCAAAAUGAAAUCCAUGGGUAAACAAAAAUCAAAGAAAAAGAAAAUGCAAUUCGUUGGGGGAACGGGUUACACGAUGAAUCAUCCCCCUAUUAAGAAACCAAAGUAAUAAUAAUGAUACGAAAAUCAAAAGGAGAAGGAAAGGCAAUUCUAGGCCGAUGGGAAAAUGAAAAAAUAAUUUCCCGAAAAAAAGGAUGGGACCUGGAAAUGGAAAACAAACCUACUAUAAUACGAAUCCUCUUCUCGGGGAUCAUAAUGUCAAGUUGCUUUCUUACUCGAAAGUACUAAAUAGAUAGGCGCUUGGGCCAGGUACAAUUGAACAAAAAGAAGCAAACUACCGUUGUUUUAGGAGGUAUGGGAGGGCGGAGACCGAUCGAUAGAAGUGUCUUUUCUUGGCUAUCCGGAUUUAUUGGACCAUUCCUUCCUGUGACGCCUUUUCACCCAUCCAUCUCCUACGCUACGCAUGGAGUUAGCACAGUCUAUGACUCGGUCCUGGGACUCCUUCUUUCUAUGUAUAGACAUAAGGAGGUUCUGCUUUCUAUUUAUAGCUACUGGAUCGUAGUAUUUCCUAAGAAAAAAGGAUACGCGAAACGUAGUUCCAAUACCUCUAAUGUGGUCCAUCCUAAGAGCAAGCCAAAAUUCUAGGUGAAUGAAAGGGCAACUGCAGUUCAGCCUUUGAUUGACUUCAACACAACUUACCCUUUAGGGUAAUAGGAUGCCACUACUUGACCUUUAAUCAUUCAAGUUGGAUAAAAAGAUAGGAAUAGGGAUUUUCUUCUUGAUCCAAUCGGAACUCUUGAAUUGAGGGGUGGCCAAAACACCUUGUACCUUUCCCAAUACUUGACCUUCGAUGCAAUUGUUUACCUUUCUAGUUUUGACGAUGGAAUGAAUCUACUUUUGACUUGUCCUCCAUAUGCAAUAGUUUGAUUGUCAGGUUUCAAGAAUGCUGGAAGAGAAGGGAAACCUCAGAGGCAGAAGGUAGAAAAACGAUUUCAUCAUCUUAUGGAAGGCAUUUCCGUUUUGGUAGACCAUUGGGGCAGAAGGAACACUCACCGUAGGCAAUUCGUAACUCUAUAGAUGCAAACCUUUGAGGUAGGCAUUGACCAUUUGGUACUGUCACUAGUUCGGCAUACUAUAGAAACCCUUUGGUAUAGGUAGACGUGAAGCUACAUCAAAAAUUGUCAUUCUAUAGAUAGCUUAAGUUUGAUACCUUCACAAAUCCCCAUCGUUGACCGAGAUGGAGGUAAUCUAACCAUUGGAAUAUUUCCUUUCUGAAACCUGCUAUCUUUCCACUUCUAUCGGCUCACAACUUUUGGAUCAAUUCUGCGAUAAGGCUGGAUGGCCAAGGCGCCCUUUCGAGACUAGGACUCUCAGGUGGGUAAGAUUCAGAAAACAGAAAAGCUAACCUGAAUUCCUGCUUAUCCCUAGGCUGCUGCUCUGUACUGCCUUCCCUCAAGUCGGUAUCUUCUUCCAUCAUGAAAGUCGGUAAGCAAUCUAGUCGGCAACAGGGAAAUCAGGAACUCAAACUAAUAGCUUCCUUGGUCUCUGAACAGAGCACUACACUAGAUGAGGGAAUCGAUGGAUGUGCACCUUUUAGGGGAAGAAUGCCACAACCCUUCCUUCCGAUACUUUGGGCCUUACAAGAUUCUAGCACGUGUUGGUGCUGUUCCAUAUUAACACCGGGAGCUACCUUCAACUUCUCAAGUGCACCCUAUAUUUUUCACGUCUCUAAGCUUCGACAUGUUGUUCCCCCGCCCACUGUCUCAGGUAUCCUCUCGUUUACCAUCUAAGACUGACAAUCCCUCUGUCCCUAUGCAAGUUUUGGUGAGUCGUUGGUAUAAGUAAUAAAGGGAGAUCAAGUCCUGGAACAAGGCUUGAUUCGCUGGUCUGAGUCGAUGGCACUGGACAAUACUUGGGAGGACCUCAUCGACCUGAAGACUCGUUUUCCUUAUGCACCGGCUUGGGGUCAAGCGCUUUCUCAAGGAAGGGGGAAUGUUAGCGCUUCUACUUCGAAUACUCGUGCCCCGAUUACAACACAAGACGACGUUGGCCCACGAGCCAGACCCAGGAAGAAUACGAAGUCCAAUUUCCUCAACCGCACACACGGAUAAGACGCUAGACAGUUUCUGAGGGAUAGAAGUCUUGAUCGGGCCAAGCCGGCAUAACAGUUAGUAGUUCGCAUUACUUUCUCUUCCAAAGCACGCACAUUCGAGUUCAGUAUGGAUGCACUGAGCGCUUAAGACCACUCGCUGGAUGAUAUGGUCAAUCAUACUCCAGAGUGGGGACAGCAUAACAAUAACAUUCUCUCUUUAGAUUCGAGAUGUAUUGAUUGAGACGUGCCUCACUCUAGUGAGGAUUUGAGCUCCCCGAUAGACGUAGGGCCCGCUCGGUACGCUGUCAUUGUUUAGGGGGGUUCUUAAUUAUAGCAUGAAAGUCCGAGUUGGAGGAAUGAUAUUGGGCUUGAGAAGUGAGCAAGGAACCUGACAUAACAUUCCUAUGGUUCCUCUGUCCCGAUCUUGCACCACUCUCAUAUCCAUCAAUCAAUUUCAUAGAUAGUUACUAUGGUUGUUUCUUCCUCCAUUCACUAAAGCAAAUGGAGCCUUUCCCUCCUCGAGUCAGCAAGCCAACUCGAGCGUUUUACCCUCGUGUCACUAGCGCAACACGAGCCAUUCAAAAAAAAGUCUUGGAACUAAAGAGAAAUCCAUCUCUAUACAAACUCUUUAUGUUCUUGAUAUUGAUUGAGUUACGAGAAUGAAGAAGCGUAGCACACCUUUUCUCUCAAUUCAAGUUUCCAUUCAAUAAGUGCAUCAAAUAUUUCGUAUAGAAAGAAAAGGAACCACUUCUCUUCUCUUAAGUAUAUGAAAAGUAGCUUUUUGGUCCCUUUCGUCCAGAGGUUAGGACAUCGUCUUUUCAUGUCGAAGACACGGGUUCGAUUCCCGUAAGGGAUAGGUACUUAUUCCUGGCCGGCGGUAUCAAGAACCCGGAUAGUCAGUAGGAAACUCCAAUCUGCAAGCGGAACAACGAGUUUAGAAGGCACGUUCUUGAAAGAGCAGGCUGACUAUGAAACUCAUAUGAGGCUCGCGAUCGGGUGCAUUGUUGACUCGGGGGCGGUUCCAUAGGCGGCUACUCUAAGACGGAUCAAGUUGGGCUAUAUAUUAUGGCAAGUUGACCCUACUUUCCAAUUUCGUAGAUAGAACAGUUCUAGUAGAAGGUUAACCCGGCCUUCCUAAGAGUACUAGGUUAAAGGGGAGACCUCUAAAGCCCAGAAAGAACUAUCCUAUCCCUUUAGGAAUCCAAAAGCGCCGUAUCUGUGGAUCACUGACGGCUAUACCCAAUGAGCAAAGUAGAAAGAGCCUAGGAAAAUGCAUCUUCUCCCUAUUCAGUCAGCAGUUGUCCAUCGACUAGUCUUACUUACCGCACCGCCCGGCGAAAAGGGAUUUCUCAGUGAUAGACCCACGAGAGCGUGUGUGCCUGUGACAAAAGAAGUGCGAGACGAUCUGGGAAGUGAGGGAUGCCCUUCCUGGGUAUCACGAGAGGCGAGGCAGGUACGGCUGGAGGAAAAUCAAGGCAACAGGGUGCUAGGUUUAAGCAAGUAUUGUCCGUCUGAUCAUUGGAAUCGGCUUAGCCGAAAAAGGCAGAUCUGGUUUCACUAGUAGGAAGAACACCCUUCUAAGGUGAAGGUAUUCCAUUUCUAAGAAGGAAGUUCUAAAUAUUCGAACUAGAGAGAAGCUCUAAAAUGGAAAUCGAAAAGGAACCCCUUGUCCGUCCAGGUACUCACCCCGCCGGAACUCACAAUCAAACAUAGGGUUGGCAAACUAGGAAGGCACAGAAAAGAAGGCAGUUGCGAAGGCGAGCAAGGUAUUUUUGAAUUUCCUCAAAUUGAUUCAUCAAUGAAGUGGUUGAAUUGAAGUAAAUGUGCCUACAAAAGAAGAGUUUUCGAUAUGGAUAUGCGAACAGGAAGAAAGCAAGCAUAUAUUACUAUUGCAUUGGCAACGAACACCGUCAAACAAAGAUAGCUGUUGAGGAGGAAGACCUGGAUAGGGAGCCGGUUAUGAAUAAACCUGGGACUAGGAAACCCCGAACUACGAAUGGAAACACUUAUUCAAGCAGGGGUAAACGGAUCUGGUUAGGAAGCCGGAGAUGGAAGAGAGGGUGUCGUGUCGGAUCUUCAAUCGGGGCAAACAACAGAUGCUCGGGAUAAAGCUGAACUUCGAUUGGUUUUUGAUGGAUAUGAGCUUUCCCUGAAUAAGGAUCCAAAUAUGCUUCCUAAAACAGCAUGCGCAAUGGUGGGCCGAGUACAUAGCAUAGCGUAUAUCAAGUAUCCAACGCCUUCCGAAUAAGGAAUGGAAGCCGACUUAAUAAAACUACAUCUUGUUGAUGUAGGUGUAGACAGGUAUUCUAAAAGGAGUGACAAUAUUGGGUGUAAGGAUUCUUCUAUGCAAACAUUGAUCACUCGUAUGGUAGCCUCACAACCAUCUACAAGGGAGACUUCCACCUCAACCUGAAGUUCACCCACGUGGAGCCUUUACUAGUCGGAGUGGUAAGACUACAACCGAUCCUCUUCCCCAAUGCCAGCGUUGUAUGUACCACCUGCCUUCUACCCUAGCCGGCCCAAUACCUUCUCCGCAGGGACCUCAACAGUCCACUACUUCUGCUGCACAGCCUAGUUCUUCUACACCAGCAGCUAUUGCUCCUAAUGAUCCAUCAUCAAUCUGCUUCACCUGUCAACCCGAAGCUGCCAUUUCCAGAACGGUUUGUGAAGUCAACUGAAGACAAGCAGAUUGCAAAGUUUCUGGAUAUGAUGACAGAUAUGCAGAUUACCACCCCCAUCCUUGAUGGUGUCUUACAGGUGCCGAUGUAUACACAGUUCUUUAAGUACCAGCUCGCAAAGAAGCGAAACAUUAACGAGCCAGAACUGGUUACUCUUACUAAGGAAUGUAGUGCACUCGUUCAAAUAAGCUACCUCUCAACUUAGAUGAGCCUGCCAGUUUCAGUAUUCCAUGCUUGAUAGGAAGUCAAACUUUCCAUGCUUUAUGUGGUCUUGGGUCUACUGUGAUUCCCUUCACUGUCUACGAGCCACUACCAUUGGGUGAUGUACGGCCGACUAGCAUCACUCUCCACCUUGCUGAUCAGGAUCUGGCAGACAUUUUGGGUGAUAUCCCUGCGAUAGUUGGUAACUUCGCAUUUCCAGUUGAUUUUGUUGUCUUGGAGAUGUAGGAUAAGAGCUUUCCUAUUUUUUUGGGAGACCUUUUCUAGCUACUGCAGGGGCUGUCAUCGAUGUGAAAGAUGCUAAGCUCACGCUUCAAUUUGGUGAGGAGAAAGUCUCAUUUGACAUUAGGUAUAUCUUCCAACUCACCUUUCUCACUGUCCAGACCAUAGUAAGCAAUAUGAAACGAGUCACUUAAGCCCUGGUAAAAGGCUACUCUUUGAAUCCCCUCUUUAAGGCAUAUAAAAUUAGUACUCUUCUUGAGCUAGCUUAAGCAUAUCUCGAGCGAGUGAGUUUCCCUCCAUCAAGUUCUAAGCGAUCAAAUAAGGUCCUUGCUCUCGAGCCAAUGCCAAUACCAAUAGAUAGGGUCUAAACGAAGGAUUAAAAGGAGGUUACCGGUUAAGGGCAAAUGCAAUCUCUGAGCCAGUUGGAGAAAAAAGGUAAUCAAAGAAAGUUUCAGUUGGACUUUCCCUGCCAACCCUACCCAAAUUUCAUACCCUGCGGUUUUAGUUCCUCUAUUGAUAUUUCGUUCCUCGAAUCGAGACUUUCUUUGUCGAGGAUCUCUGGUUUAGGGUACUCCAUCGAGUUUCAGUUUCUUCUUCUAAUGGUUGUGUCCGUCUAAGGUGGCUAUUUGAGAAAUUUAAGUAUCGCGGUUGUCUUGAGCUCUGGAUUGAUGGACGAAAACCCGGGGCUGGGUUCGAUUUCAACUCGGAGAUAGCCGGGUCUAUAGUAAGAGCCGCUUUGUGAACAGCAUCGGAUGACAUAGCCAGGGUAGCCGCAAUAGAGCAAUUAUGCCUUAAGCCCAAAACUCUUCCUUCUAGGGAUCAGAUCAACCUAAAGCACCAUCAGUUGUGGAUUCAUCCACAAAGUCUUUCUACUUAGCUCGUCAAGCGAAGUAGCUAUCAACGGCUUUAGCAUGACAACUAGAACAUCAAGCCAUGGUAAACUGCCAAAGCUUCUGCUGUAGUGUAGCACCAGGGUUCAGCCUUCUCCUUGCCGAGUUGCAUCGCCCGCAUCGUGUUCAAUUGGAAAGUCUGGCAAAGGCGCUUCCAACUCCUGGUUCAGGGUCUGAGGUUACCAAACAAAGAUGAAUCCUACGCAAUCAGAGAUUAAGCCAUAAGAUCCCACCCAGAAACUGCAAGAGUCGGGGGCACCUACCGAAGGAGUCUUCCCUCCAUCGAUUCAAUGACAAAAUAGCUCUAUUGAGAGGGCCUUUGACAACCCUCUUGAAUGUGGCUCGCUCCUAGUUUUUCUUCCCCCCGCCCGUUCUAUCUAGGCUGGUGGCUAUACCAGAUUUCGUGUCUGAUCGAACUUGAAACUAGCCCAUUGAGCUUCUUGGAUUCCAAACCAGAAAGAAGGAUCGCACACAAGAAAAUAGAGUUGGAAUGAAAGAUGGGGUAAAGAUGAACUUUACUCUCCUAGCUGCUCUCCAUCCAGCAAGUUACUCUCUUUCAAAAGAUGACAACUCAAGAUUACCAAUCAAAACCAACGCUUUUUCUUCUCCUAUAGCUUCAUCAUUACAUCUUUCACUAGUUGUUGGAUGUGAGUGAUGAGAUCGAUCCAUGGAACUUUUACCUCACUCACAUACUUUGGAAGAUGAAGAAAUUCUCUUGAAUUUACUUAUGGGCUGGCUCUACAUGUGGUCAGAUGGGUUCCCCUCUUCAGUCAUUUGGUACCUCUCCAACGCUUCCUCCUAUUCCUACUGAUCAGAUCAAAGCCAAACCUAUCUACUCUUGCACGUUGUCACCCACCGCUCUUGCCAAAAACAAAGAAAUUCUAUCUUGGGAACUAAAAAAGAAUCGAAAUGGGAAGUAUUUAUUUCUUGAUUAUCCAGCUAGCAUCCUUACUUCCUUCUUCAAUGGAAAUUCUAUGUUUUGGCUCGGUAUAAACCAAAAAAUGAUAAAUUCUCUUAUUUGUAGAAAAGUCUUCUUUUGGUUAAAUCUGGAGAACCCAGUCGAAACUCUAAUUCAUGUUUGUGGAUUUUAAUAGCUCUCCUAUCUACCCAGAAAUGAUCUUCUACCUUUACUGUCUGUGUUCUUUACAUAUCUUUUGAUUGUUUUUCAAAUCAUUGUGUCGUUACAAAUUCAGUGGUUGCACCCUUGUGAGCAAGUUGUUGCCGGAUUGGAUAGGAGAAGUUAAACAAAGCUACGAAGGAUAAAAAAUAGCUGAAGAAGUUAAGAAGAGCAUUAGUGAAGCGAGAGGAGGACAAGAUGGUUGGGAAGAGGAGGAAGGGGUAUUAAGGAAAAAAGGGAGGCUUUAUGUGGGGACCGUUGGAAAUGCAAGAGCCAGGAUAGCGCAAGAACUGCAUGGGACAGCUACCGGAGGCCAUUCAGGUAUACUAGCUUCCUAUAAGAGAACUAAUAGGAACUUUGUCUGGCCAGGAAUGGAUGCCUCUCUUGAGGACAGACUGUGACGGUAAAGCAACAACAUCAACUCGCAAUGGCCCUCGUGCCAUGAGACAUGGAUUUUAGUCGACGUAGAUUGGAUCGAAAGAUCGCACUUCCGCUCUUCUCCUAUCGGACUAGUCACUUCCCACUCUCCUCAAGUGAACAGUUUAGCCACUAUCCUCCCAUAUACUCUGCUUUUUCAUUGCUUAUGAACUGGAACUUGUUGGUGCAUGGAUUUCACGUUUCAGCAGCACUUUGGUUUGUGCAUGGUUGUGAAAAGAAGGCCUUCUAUACACUUAUAUGAACUUCAUUGGCGAAAGAAAGAGAAGCUUGCCUUGAUAAAGCACAACCUUUCGCACUCCAAUAAGCAUAUAUUGUUACAAGGUUAUGCCCAAAGGUCUCAAAAACGCCGGUGCUACAUAUCAACGUGCCAUGACUAAGAUCUUCGAUGAGAUAAUACAUAAGAUUGUCGAGUGCUAUGUAGAUGAUCUAGUUGUAAAGGCGGUAUCCUAUGAAGAACAUCUUCAACAUCUCAGAAUCGUAUUCGACCGCCUAAGGCAACAUGCACUCAAGUUAAACCCGUUGAAGUGCGCCUUCAUGGUCUCGUUAGGCAAAUUCCUUUUGAUUCUGUUGUCAGAGGUGCCUUUCAAUUUCAUUGACCUUGGUACUGCAUUUCAUAGAUACCUUCACUAUUACAGUAACACAAUUCUCCACUGAACCCAUUGACCUAGGUACCGAGUCUGUUAUGCGUACGUCUUUUCGGACUCUUUAUUUGUUUGUGGACAACAAAAAUGCAAACAUGAGAAAAGGGGAUCAUUCCAUUUUGAACACACCCAUCUAUCUCAUCUGACCUCUCCGAAUUCUCAAGUAACGAACCAUGGGCUAUAGAUGGUUGGGACAUAUCAUCAUCCGGAGGGAGUGGUCUUAAUACCGAUGUCUUUCUUUAACCUUUGGGAGGUCGAACCACUGAACCUAUUUCUUUGACCUUGGGACCGAUAGAUAAGAAGGCAAGGCAGAAGAACCAAUUGAAUCACGGAGAACAGGUAGCUCCGGCAUGUGAACUUGUCGAACCAUUCAACUAUACUGUAUAUCGAUUGGCCACAUCAACGCAUUUCACCUCGGAACUUGUACUUGGAAUAGAGCCAGCCUUGAGAUCCGCCACAUCUUCCUUCAAGUCAGAGAGUUGAGAUAGAACAGCUUCGCCUUUGACCGGUUUGCUGCUUUCCUUUAUACACAAGCCCCUAUUAUUAGGGUAUGGAGGUUUUUUCUGGAAUGACCAAAGAACAAGAGAAGUUCAAUGAGGUGCAAACGCAAGAAUUAAAGCAACGAGGACAAGUGCUAGGAUAGGAUCCCGAAGGAUGGCAUGCCUAUUCAGCAACGUGCAGAAAGGAUGGCUUCACGCAAGAAUCUUGAUGAACCAGGUAUGUCUUCUACUAACAGAUAUGCUAUUUGCAAUUCCAUUGAUUCUGCUAGUCUAGUAAAAUUUGUUGUAGAUAGUGAUCUAGUGUUGGGCAGUACACAGGAGGAAAUUGACAGGUCUAUAAAUUCUAUUAAAGCAAGAGAACUUGCUCAAGCAUUGCUUUUAUGAAGCUGCUCAGAAAAAGAAGUUAGCUGCUCAUGAGAAGGAGCAGUCUUCCAGUGUCGAGUUAAGCUCUGAUUCAGAGAAUGAGGAUAUUACUCAGAUUGUUGAAGAGUUAGAUAAUCACAGUACUUGUAUACCAGUUGGUGACAAGAACACUACGAGCAGAGCUAAGAGGAGGCAUAACAAAAAACAGAUACCGCCAUGAAGACACUAAUCUUGAAUGUGAGGGGCCUGGCCAGGUAGAAGGGGGCAACCUUCUGAAGUGAUAGAGUGGGUGGACAUAGUUUGUGUGCAAGAAACUAAGAGAGAACAGUUCUCAGAUAAAGAGUUAAUGGCAAUUGGUGGCAGAAAGCUUUUCAAGUGGUUUUGCAAGCCAGCCAGUGGCAGUAAAGGUGGAAUGCUUAUUGGAGUCAAUCUGGAUGUCAUGGAUGCAGACCUCAUUGGGGAGGGUCAAUUUCUCCAUGGUGUUUGAGUAUAGAGGCUUUGUGAUAAUUGUGCUUGGGUGGAUGUUUAUGGUCCAACCAAAUUUAAGAGCUAUGUUUUUGUCAGAGCUCACUAACUUUGUGCAGAGUGUUGAUCUACCUUUGCGGGACAUGAUCAGAUUUGCUCAUGAAACAAUGGCAGAAUACAUAUUAAUAGGAUGGAAGCUUUUAAUGCUUUCAUAUCUGAAACUGAACUACAGGAACUGAGAAGGGUUGAUGGCCUGGACUAACAAACAAGACAAGCCAGUGAGAGAAAUUUUGGAUAGAGUUCUGGUUUCAUCAACUUAUGAGGAUUUAUUUUCUAAGUUUUACUAUCCCUCUUGCAAGCUGGGUCAGAUCAUUGUCCUUUACUUCUAGAAAAUGGGGAAGAUAGGGGCUGCCACUAAGUUUCGUUUUGAACCAUCCGCAAGAAGGGUUUAGAGAUAUGCUGUUACAGAAAUGGCCUACAAGAACUGUUGCAAAUGUUCCAUUCCAGACUAUUGGCAACAAGUGUCUCAGGGCUUCAGGAAGUUCUUGAGAGGGUGGAAGGCAAAUGAUGCUACUGACAAUAGAAGAAGUAAAUCCAAUCCCUGCUUUAGCCUUGCUGCUUAUUCACUGGCAAUCCAACCAUACCAUUCUUGUCUAUCAGGAUCAGUCUUUCCCUCAAGUCACCUUAACAUGCUUCUUUCUUUCCUUCACUAUGCAGAUACAAAACUAGGUUGCAGACGCAUAAAGCCACUGAUACUAUUGGUCAGAAGUAUGAUUUGACAAAAACUACUACUUUAGCAGCUAUGCGAAAUGGAAGUUUCCUUCUUCUUGCUUGUUUGGCCGUCCGAAAGCAGAUACAGAUAUCGGGGAGAAAACAGCUCUCUGAGCGAUGGAUACCGAUCGAUCUCGGUUAUUUUCAUUGAUCCUGGCCUAUCUCCAUAGCGCUCACCCAGAGGGAAUUCACUCAGCUCUGGGCCGCAUCCAUCUGGUUGGCAUGAGAAAGAAGGCAAUUCCUUCCUUGGGUCAGAUCUCCGUUUCGGGAUGGAAGAAAGAAAUGAUGGUUUGGAUGAGUAAUUGGGAAACACACACGAGGUCAUGGAUGGCUACCUAAUGUGAGAUGCAUGCAUUUCGGAUAGAAUGUCACACUGGCUCUGGAGUGCCCGGGGGCGAUAGAUAUAUGGAUAUAUAGAAGGAAGGGAACAUCGUCUGCGAGCUCUCUCUCCUAAUCCACUUUCUUAUUGCAAAGGCUCCAACAGAGCAAAGUUGUACAAAAAGAAGUAUGCAUAUGGUCGGUCCCCUUCGAAAGGCAAUGGAAAGCAAGGGUCCCGCUAGCAUUGAGGAAGGAAGCGGUGAGACUAGUUCAGCCAUAACCUUGAAUGAAUUUAUAUAAGCCAGGAUCUUGUACUGGGUACAGAGACUCUCUAGUGAUGCUCCCCUACCCCCCUCUGCCUAGGGUAAUAAGCUGGAGUGAUAAGCUUAAGCUAAUAGCACAUAGAGAGCUAAUACCAUAUCCCGCCCGGCUCCGCCUUUAGCUGACCCAGCCCGGACUUCCCCUUCAAGCGUUCAAGAAUAAGCAUGGGAGUCGAAUAGAGAUGGCACUUGGAAACUACCAUUGGUAUUUCAGGUUUCACAUUGUACAGAAUGAAAUCAUCGAUAGGGCUCGCCCCGAAGAGAGGAUGUCGCGCUUAAUAGAAAAUUGUUUAGUUUAGGCAUUUAGCUUAGAUUAAAAUAGAUAUGUAACAUGAUGUACUUACACGUGCAACCACUCCGUCUUCUAGACCGGGGUCAUAAUUGAACCCACAACAAACCUCAGAUGAUGUGACUUCUCCACCCUCUAGGCAAUUCAAAACUGGUCCCAUUAGCUCGAAUUUACUAAUGUUAGAAAGGAAGACGAAGGUGCCAAAACAAAGCAUUUGUUUCAAGCGCUGUCGUGUCCUUGAGCUUCAAAGUCUCCAAAAUCUUGAUCGAGAAGAGUAAGCAUUGCCUGGUGAGGAAGAGCGGAAGCAUAGGUUUUUGGAUCCUAGCGAAGGAGUUUCAAGCACGGAUUACGCUUCUAAAGAGCACUAUUUGGCUUGGCCCCAUCCUGCCAAAGAUUUGAGAUAACUAAAGCGACUCGCAGUCAAAACUGGUGGAGCCAACGCCAAAGAGGAAAUGUGUAGAUAGUAGGUGAGCGCCUAGCCCCUUAGUCUUUCGGAUCGGAAGAUUCAUUGGUUUCAUCCAAAGGCUUCUGUCUCGUCUUCCUCAAAUUGUUGAUCGAGGAUCAAAGACAUUGCUAAAGCAGACGCCUACCAAACGGGAGUUCUUGUACUUGCUAGAACGACAUCUGCUCGAACUUUUGUUUCUUAGAAAAGAAAAUAUGAACUCACAAUGUGCAACAGAAAUGUACCCACCGGUUGAGAAACCACCAUAGUUGGAUGAUUGCUCGCGCUAGUAAGACAACUUUGACUCUUCUUGAUCGUGAUCUGGUGAUCGGUCACACCCUCUUUAGAGGUUCUAGGCCCUGCCUAUUGAGUCAUCUACCAUAGAAACAGAGUCUCGUGAUGAUCCUGGUACAAAAGGUUCGUCAGGCCCGCAUUCAGAGACUUCUGCCUUAGACUCAUAUCCAUAAAGAUAUUCUCUCGCUUUCUAGUUGUACCCUUCUUCACACCCACCAAAGAGGUUAGAGAUUUCCCGUUAUCAACAUUGUCCAGGCAGGACUCUAUUUUUAGAAUGCUCGGAGCCAACCAAACAGUUUGCUACGUCCCUCGAGAAAAUCAAAACUUCAUUGGAACGUGGUUCUCCCAUUUGUUAUCUCAUUUGUGGUUCUCCCAUUUGUUAUCUCCACUCCAUCUAAUAUUAAUGUGUGUGUUACCUAAAGGAAUGUAAAAGAAGGUAAGAAAAUAUCUAGCAUGCAAAGACGAAUUCCAGAUUGACCCAUACAAAACCUGGUCUGUGCUAAAAAAAGAUGAAAAGAAACAACCUGCAUGUAAUAAAGUUCACCUUUGCGUUUCAAAAAAAGUAAAAUUCACCUUGUUGUGAUUAGAAACACCCCAAGCUCCUUCCAUUACCGACCUUGGUAAGCUACAGAUUGACGACUGUAUAACUCCAGUAUAGUUUACAUCCUAAAACACAACAUAAGAUAAUCCAUGUUUGAAAUUUUCUACAUGCAGUAAGUGGAUUAAGCUAAUCAUUGAAGAGCAAAUAUAUCUUACCUUCCAUCUGAUCCCAACCAAUUGAAGCUGAAUUUCCUG